UUUUUUUUUUUUUUUUUUUGUCAAUGCCAUUCUAUUUUUUUAAAGUACCUAACGUUUUAAAUUAAUUGAUACUUUAAUAACUAAUUCAUAUUUAUUGUGAAGUAGAAAUAAUAAUAUAAAAGAAAAACUUUCAAACUUUUUAUGAAAAACAAAGAACAGUAUUUUUUUUAUUUGAGCAUACAAAAAAAAAAACAACACUUGAAAAUGAAACCCAAAUAAUAUAUAAAAUUGAUAUCAUAAAUACUUAUUUAAAAUGAAUAUGACUAUAUUAUAUUCAUAUUACGAUAAUGAUAUUUUGAAAAUAAUUUUUGACAAUUUUUUUAUAAUGAAAUAUUUAUCAUCAUUUUAUUUAUAUAUUUGAAUUUAUAUUUAAAAAAUAUUUAAAAAAAUUAAUUAUAAACUACCAUAUAUACAUUAGGAAAAGAAAUUGUUAAAAAAAAUUGUUGUUAAAAGAUAUUUUUCCUUCUUAUUGUUCACAUUAUCCUACGUUAAUGUGAAGUCAGAUAUGAGAGUGAGGAUGAAGGGGCAGUUAUUUGUCAGAGCAUUGAGCAUGGCAGGUCAGACAUACAUAUGCCACGUUUCUUCACGUUAGCCUCUUUCUCUCUGGGUUUUUCAAUUUCAGUUUUUUGCAAUGCUAUUACUGCUACCACCUACGUUCCCUUCUCAAACGCGCUUGCCUUUUCCCUCCACUCCCAAACUCAAGGUUGUGUCCGAAACAGAUGUCUUCCCUUCAUUUCUCCCUAAAGAAAUCCACAGAAUCAAAGACCCUUUUGCGAGAAACCUUGCUAAACGGAUUCAGAGACUUCCCGUUGCUGUAAAAAUUCUGCAUUUUCAUCAUUUCCACCUUCCAAUUUAUUUACUUAUUUACUAACUUAUGCUCUUUAUUUAUCGCCCCUUUUCAUAUUCAUUAUGCUUGUAUUCUAAUACAUAUGCUAACAUGUUGAGAUAUCCAAUAAUGAAAAUGAACCAUGUGAUGGAAUGAUUUGGGGUUUUGGAUGGUAUGCUUUGAACCAACUCUUUUGUUGAAUAAUUCCCUUAUCAUAUGUUGUUCACUUCCCAAUCAAUGGAAACUUUCCUUCAUUUCAUUAUAAAAUGUUCAAUAAUAAAUGGUAUGCCAAUUUUGUUUCACAUGCAAUUCUGUUCUACUCAUCAUUAGAUAUUCAAGUGGUCUCUUAGGCGGAACUCCAUCUGGAAACCCAAAAAUUUUAGUUCAAUGAUCAUCACAAUCAAAGAUUUUGGAUAAGGUGUGCUUACACAUGGAGAAAGAGUUAGGAAAAUUUCAUGUAGGACUGUCUGUCAAUGAGGUUUUAUAACAGGGAGAAUAAGGGAAGGAAAUGAUUAUGUUACGGAUAAGGAAGUGGAUGAGUGAAAAGUCUGCUAAAUGUGAAGAAAUAAAUAAAAUUGACACGAGGAUGGAAGUGGGGGAGGUGGUGAAAUAGUGUGUAAUAAGCAAAGAAGUAGCAGACAGAGAGAAAAAUAAAUCUAUAAUAAAUAUCUAAGUGGGGGAAAGAAAGAGUCAAGUUUUAGCAUGAAUGGCAGUAAGGAGAGCCUCUCAUAGUUAGUUAUCUUCAAAUAAAGAUUUUCAGUUCUUAUAAUUUGUAUUAUUUAUUGAUCCAUUUCUUUGAAGGCUACUCAUUGGCCCUUUAGAGUUUGGAUUGUUGUGGGUGGUGUUUUUUCUAUUUCCCUCUCAAUCACUCAACUCUUAAACUGAAUAGAAGCAAUGAUUUUUCAAAACAAUUCCUUUUUAUGGGCUGUUUGGCAAAAUUUUGAGCUUGUUCUCUUGAGAAAAUUACUCAAUAUUUACUAUUGCUCAUCAGUUAUUUCGUGUGACACAAUCAGGUUAGGUUCUUGGAAAAUCCUAUCAUGAGUAGUUGUGUGAAGCCGAUGAUGCAGAACAAGGAAAAUCCAAUUGUCCUACUUCAUGGCUUUGACAGGUGCUCAAAACAAGAAAGUGACAGAAUUUGUACAUUUUUAUGCACAAGUUACCUUUGGAUUUCAUUUCACUCCUUCUCAUUGUUCAGCUCAUGUUUAGAAUGGAGAUAUACAUAUCCAUUGCUUGAGGAAGCUGGUUAUGAGACAUGGGCUGUUGACAUUCUUGGUUGGGGUUUCUGUGAUCUAGGUUUGCUUUUCUACUUCUCCCAUCUUAUGUUCAUUCCUUUCUUUCACUUUAAUCAUGGAGUUUUCUCUUUUUCUUCUUAUCCAUCAGAAAAACUUCCUUCAUGUGAUGUGGUAUCAAAGCGUGAUCAUUUUUAUCAGGUAGUUAGGUGUUCAUCAGCCCAUCUUCUGAGGAAAUGGUUAUCUCCACAAAUUGACAAAUUUAUUUGCAUCUGUGCUUUACUUCCUAUUGUUUCAUUGUGUUGUGGGUGAAUUGGUGUUAUCUACCAGUUUUGGAAGUCCCACAUCAAAAAGGCAAUGAUAUUGGUUGGUCCAAGCCUUGGCUCUGCAGUUGUCAUUGAUUUUGCAAUCAAUUAUCCAGAAGCUGUAUGUGCUAUCCAACAAUUUAACUUCUGAAUAUUAACAUAUUUUAAAGGUUUCUUUUAUCAUAAGGCAAUUCUGUUGUGAUAUAGUAAUUUAUUUGAAGUUAAUUUUUUCAGGUGGAAAAGCUUGUUUUGAUUGAUGCUAGUGUGUAUGCAGAAGGAACAGGAAACCUAGCAACCUUACCUAAAGCAGCAGCGUAUGCUGGGGUGAGUAUAUCUCCAACUUUGCACAAGCCAUUGUCUAGAACAUCAUGUCUCUGUUUUUUUCAGCUGGAUAAAUCCAUGUGUUUUGAAUCAGGCAUAUCUAUUGAAGAGCAUUCCAUUACGCGUAUAUGCUAACUUUUUGUGCUUCACAAACUUGUCUUUCGGUACUAGCCUCGAUUGGACUAACGUGAGUUGCUAGAUCUUAUCGUUGUCAUUUUCUUUAGAUAAUGUGGCGUACAUAUGUGCAUUUGUUUUCAUUUUCAUAAUGCACCAUGAUCAACAUCACAAGCUUAAGCAUGUUUAUGUUCAUCACACACUCCCUCAGUGGCACUCAUUCACUGUCAUCUUUAGAUGUUGCAGAAUGAAGUUGCAUAACAUGGUCGUAUAAUCUUAAACAGGUGGGUCGCUUGCAUUGUUUAUUACCAUGGUGGGAGGAUGCCAUUGUUGAUUUUAUGACGAGCGGUGGUUAUAAUGUUGUCUCCCAGAUAAAAAAGGUAUUUUCACCCAUUAUCAGAUUUUUGGUGUCAUCAUGUUCUUAUACUAUUUGUUAUAAAAUCAUCAAUAAUUCUCUCUUAAUCAAUUUUUUUAAAAAAAAUAUUUUAAUGAAAAUUAGAGAAAGAAUAUUCAAUCCAUGUUAUGACAUAGUGCCCACCAUUGAUGAUGGAAGGACAGUUAGCAACACCAAACACCGAUAUUUGGAGCUUCAGAGUUCAAUUUGGAUUAUUCCAACAAAAUUAAAGAAAUCACAAUUUUGAGUAGUGGAUGGUGAAGAGAAAGUUAAAGAGAUAAAAGGAGUGAAUAGAGAGAAAGAUAGAAAGUUUAAAGGUUUGUUUAAGUUAACAAGAAAACAGAUUAAGAAAAAAGUAUUAUAUCCACAAUUCAAUUUUUAACAUUAGGGAUUCAUCAGGGAUUCAUCAUCUCUUUAUUAAGAAAAACAUUUAUAACCUAUAAUUGAUAACAAUAAUAAAAUGGAUUAUUAGUUAUAGUCUGUUUGUUCACAUUUUUUUUCUAAAAAAUUACCCCAUAUUUUCCAUAUAAAAAUCUAUUAUUUAUGUAACUGCAUGCAAUCUUUAACUUAAAUGACAUUUCUUAAAUUUUUAUUUAAAUUAAUCGUUUUAAUUUUAUCUUUUAACAUAAAAGAUAAAUGAAAAGGAAGUCUUAUCUCAAAACUCCAUUAGUGUGAGCAAGAACUAAAGAAAAGAUAAAAUGUAUUUCCAAAAACAAUCAAUCAUCAAAAUAAAAAUAACAUUAAAUUUAAUUUUUUUAUAUAAAUUAUCAUGAUUAGAAAGUUAACAUCCAUACACAUCACGUAUUUGUUGAUUAUAAAAUUCAUUCUCUAUUCUUAUCUAUCACUAGCUGACUUAGCUCAAGCGAAGAAUAAUGUGAUAAAUGGCAUUUUUAUGUCUGCAACUUCAUCAAUAUUUAGUUCCACAUUAAAUUUUUUUCCCCCAUAGUAAAUCGAUUUUAUCAUCUUUUUAAGGUAUACAUGGCUAUAAUUUCAAUUUUUUAUUUACAGGUCUUUAUGUUAUUAGGAACAGACUUAUGGUAAAUCUUUUCAUUCAUAGUUUUUUCAGUAAUUUCCAUUAAAAAUUCAUAUUCUUUUUGAGAGCGUGGAUUGAAGUGCUGCUAUAUACACUACAUCUCUUGCAUGGUUGUUGGCACGUGUCAGCUUUUUUUAUUUUAUGUUAAUGAUAAUUGAUGCAAUUUUGAACUCUCAUGUUUGGUAAGUUUUAUUCCUAUUAGUGUCUAACUUUGAAUAAGAAAUCUCACACCGGACAAACAAAGAACAAGUUGACUACGACAUAGAUAAGAAACAUAAAUUUUGAAUGCUUUAAGGUUGAGUUGAAUGUUGUACUAAAAUUUUUAGUUGGUGAAGAUGUCUCGAGUAUUUUUUUUUUCCCUCUCUUAUUCUCUACACUUUGUUUUUAACUUUCUUACUAUCUUUGGUUUGAAUUCAAGAUGAUCUCACACCUUAGAGAUAAAAUAAGGGUUCCAAAUAAAUAGAGUCGGUCACGCUUAAACUCAUACCAAAAUAACAAAAUAAAGGGUUUUCAUGUAUACACAUUUUAAUUUUAACAAGUAAAACAAGUAAAUUUUUAAAAAAUAAUAUCAGAACUAACUUUUUCAUAAUAAAUAGGGAGUUAUGUUUACAAAUUUUAAUUUUAAUAUUAUAAAAGUAGUUUAAAAAAUAUAAUUUUUUUUAGAAGAUAACUGUUAGACAUAAAUAAAGUUUUUUUUCAAUAAACUUUAAAUGAGCUCCACAUGUAGUUGUUAAAAUAGAAAGAUGCUUGAAAGGCUUUUUUUUUCCAACCACCUCUUGUCAAUAAAGGAUGGUGGGUUGUUGUUUCUCUAUCAUUAAGAUACUUUUACUCCUCCCAAGACUAUCAAGAGGACUAGUAGAUGGUGGUAUUGAGUGUGAUAGUGUUUUAAAUCAUUAUAAGAGAGUUUCGUAGAGUGCAACAAUGUUGUUUCGGUGGGGAAGGUCUCCCUAGUCUUCCUACACACUUUUCUAUCGUAAGCUGUCCGGUCUUCUGCUUCCCUUGACGAGUCCUCUUCUGAUGAAUGCUCUCGUUCGUUGGAUCCGGUCAGGUACCUGCUAAUGGUACUCCGACGCUCAAUAUUAGUUAAUGGGAUGAAAAGGUAGAGAUAGAGAGAGAAAAUGAAGUAAAUGUGCAUUCCAUGGAACCACCUACCUUUGACCCUGAACUCAUAUUCAUAGUUUUUCUCAUGGGCCAAUGAUUAACAAAGCCUUAAUCACGGCCCAAUAGUAGGUCUGUUAUAAUUAAUCUGGUUUUACCUUAAUCCUGAAAGCUUUACCAAAUUCUAAUUUCAUCCUUGGCCGGACGCGCCAGCCGUCCGUCACAACAGUUUUGGUGAGUAAUCUGUUCAAACUGGUACCAGAUCAACUCCUUUAUGCGAGCAUCCGUCGUUGAUCGUUGGUCAUCCGACGUACUGGCGGUCUGCCCGUACGGCGACUUGAGGGUUCAACGUCUUAGUCAUACCUGACGUUUCGUCUCUCAGCACUUUUUCGAAGAACAUUUUUUGUGAGCAUGGAGAAUGCGGUGUUAUCUUGUGCCGAUAGGGCUUCAUGUGAAUUCUUCAAGGUUUUUCUCACAAACAGAGGUUACACCCGGCCGCCGAGACCGGGCUUCACUGUUGUGUUUCCUCGGGUUUCGUUGCGUGCCGGUCAUCCUGACUAUCCCUACGACCGUCCAUCCCACUCCUUACAGUACAAAUGUGAAGCACACAUUGAAGGAGAAAAAAUAAAUAGAGAGUUUAUGGUAGUGUGUACCUAGAAGAAGAGAAGAAAAGUAGUGAAGCCACAUUAGAGUGUGCAUACCAUGGUUGUGAAGUAAAAACAAAAUAAUAGAAGUGUAAGUAUGUGUGUCAGCAAUGAAUAAAAUUAAGAGUUUGGGUUUCAAAGCAAAGUGUGCGUUUUUUUAUGUCUCAUUGAUAUCAAAUUGGUAUUAGAGUUGGUUAGAUCCAACAUUAGUUUUAUGAGUUUGUGAGAGAUUCAGUAAAAAGAAAAAAUUUGAGUGUGUGAGGAACAAGCAAGUUCUCAGUUUAUGAAAUUUGUAGAAUCUAUUGAAGAGAGAGAAAAAUGACCACAAAUUACAAUAUUGCUUGAUCUGGUCCCAAAUUAGAUAGGAAACUAGAUUACACUUAUUGGGCAUUAUUGAUGUCUACCCAUUUGAAGGCUCAUAAUAUUGGAGCUUUAUUGAACCAUGCUUUCAACAAGGAGCUGAUGAUACAACUUGGACAAAGGACCAGUUGGCGUUACCACAAAUUCUCCAAGGUGUAGACUAUUCAAUUUUUGAGAAGAUAGCAAAAGUCAAAAUAGCCAAAGAGGCCCUGAACAUUUUGUUAGUUUAUUAAGUGUUUCUUCUUGUAUAUUUUUCAUAUUACUCAUUUAUAGUUACGUUGAGAGUCCCAACUCAGACGGGUGAUAUCAUAACAAAUUCAACAUUAUAAGAGAAGUAGUUUUCUUCACUAAAUCAAUAUGCUUUGAUACAGAUAAAGCAGAAAACUCUAAUCAUUUGGGGGGAGAAUGACCGCAUAAUCAGCAAUAAGCUUGGUGUGGUAAGUUGGUACACAGCACAUUUUCCACUUUUCUGUUGAUCCUGGGAGAUUAUAUUUCCUAUCAAUGAUUGCAGUUAACUUACGAACUUCUACUGUUUCAGCGACUGCAUUGUGAAUUACCUGAUGCCAUUAUACGCCAAAUACCAGAUUGUGGUCACCUUCCUCAUGUUGAAAGACCAGAUUCUGUAUUCAAAUUGAUUGUUGAAUUUGUUCAGAGCAAGAGCACGACAGAAAAUGAAUGUGUUUCACCUUUGUGACAAGGAACCAUGCUUUAUUUUUCUAGUUGCACUUUUCAUUUGUCUUAGCUCUACUCUAAUACAAAAUAGAAACAAAAAAAGUACACACACCAUAGCAUUUUGUUAUGCCUUCAAUGCUUCAUGUUCACUCACGAUUUCUGAUUAUAUUAAUAUUCUACCAAUUAUCUUCAUUGUAUCAAAAUUGAGAUUAUGGUAACAUCAAAAUUAUUGUUAGGAUCUUAAAUGUAUACCUUAAUUGGGUUUUAUUAAUUGAAAUCUAUUCAGUUAAGAUAAUAAAGGGUGUAAUGAAAAAACAUUUUUAAUCCUUAAUUGGCUUUAAAUUGUCUUAAUUGGAAUUUUAUUUGUCAAGAAAUUAUGAACUUUUGAUCGCAUUAAUUUUAGUUGGGUAGUGUUAUAAUAAUAUAAAUUUUUGAUUAUAUUAAGUUUAAAUUUUAUUUAAAGUAAAUUCAUUCGUUCAAAACGAUGAAUAGGGGGUCUAACAGACAAUUUACCAAAAAUGACAAUCUAAAUGAUUUUAUGAUUUUCUUAAUCUUACUUUGCCACGAUCAUGGAUCAGAUCUAAAUAAAAAAUGCUAUGGAAAAUUCUGGAUCUUACAAAUUUACAAAUUAAAUAUUUAUUUUAACUAAGAUUAUUACAACCGUUGUUUUAUGUUGCAUUGAAGUUCUUUUUAAUGUUAAUCAGCUUUACUCGUUGACCCAAAGCACCAAACUAUGCCAUAUUUAAGAUUAUCAAUUUCUAAUGCUAAUUCAAAUUUGUUUGUGUUUUCGUGUUGAAAAUGGCAUUCCUAUUUUUUUAUGUCAUUAAUUUGGACGAAAGAACCUUAGAAAGCAAUAGAUCAUUGAAAAAUGUUUGUGACGGUGGCAACUGGCAACAUGAUUAUUGAUUCAGAAGUUAGCAAAAUACAUUAAUUGCUGUGACUUGGACUCUUCUUCUCUAUCUUUAGUUCAGAUUCUCUUAGUACGGUGUUACCAAAUAAGUUACAUAACCUCAAACAGGUUGGAAAUUCCAAAGAUAAAUCAUGUAACUAUUUGAUAAUAUUUUUAGAAAAUAAUACAAGAACUCAGUAUAAAAUAAUUUUUACGCACACACACACACGUAUAUAUACGUAUAUAUACAUAUAUAUAUAUAUAUAUAUAUAUUAAUCAUUUGAGUCAAACAAUAAUUUUAAAUAACAUUUUAUUAUUUCAGUUGCAUUUAACAGUAGAAAAACCAUGUGCUAUUUUUUUAUUUCAGAUUUGUCGGCUAUGCAUGGCAUGAUGUGAAACAAAUUUAUUCUCAGUUGGUGUUGUUGACUUUUAGAAGCAAUUACGUCCGAGGAAAAAAAAAUUGUUCCACCAUAUGAAUGAAACGACAUAGAAAAUUCAGAAAACUCACAAGUUAAAUCGUAUUAUUGAUGCAGGGACAUUUGAACCACCUUUGCUUUUUCUAUAAUAUAUGCACUGGUUGGCCUGUUGGGAACUUGGAAUUUUCAAAACCCCAUUAGCUUCAUAAUAAAGUAGCAAGAGUACCAUAUCACAGGCUCCUAUUUUACACCGAUUACUGUCAAAUCAGUUAAUGUGAUACUUGUAAAACAGAGGAAAAAAACUCUAAUGAUACCUCAGAAUAACGUUAGAAAUCUUAUUAAAGGAUAUACAAUAAGAGGUCCUACAUGGUUAAAAUGAAUGAACAAUGGCUUUACAUGCCAUUGAAAAAGGUUAAAAUGUGAGUGACAGAGACGUAGAGUAGCCAGCUAACAUGAAGUUGAAUGAUGAACAGAAUAGUUUAUAAAAAUGGGGUAGCCGGAUUCCAUUAAAUUAAAAAAUAGUGUCUGUCAUAGUCUUAGAUGUACAAAUGGAGAAAAGCCAAGUGCUACUUCCAACCCCUCAAUUGUAAUCAUAAUCAACAUAUAUCAGCACUAAACAAAGGAACCAAAUUCCUACUCUCUUUUUUCUCUUGCUAAGAAAAGAAACAAAAAGGGUAUGCUUGAAUUGCUUGUGGAUGAUUCCCAGAAGUAAAAUUACAUGAAAACCUCACAAGCUUUUCCAUGGUGGCACAGUACCUUUAGGCUACACCCUGAUUGCUAACCACAUGGUUAGCACAAAGAGCAGUAGCAACUCAGAGUUGGUGCCUCCCAAAUUAGCUCCAUUGCCACUCAAACCAGUUGUAGAUGUUGGACUUAUUCCAACUAUGGUAGGAGUACCAGGAGUUGUACCAGGUGGUGAUCCAGUUGGUGUUGUUCCUGCAUUGCUGCACCACAGUCAAAAUAAAAGGAGCAUCAAAACCUGUUUCAUUUUAUUAUAACCUUGGGUGAUUAAUUAAAUGUUGUACAUAAGUUUAGUCCUAAGAAAUGUUUGUGAAACAUCCUAAUCAUGCCAGUUCAUAUUUCAACAGAAUAAGUAAGUGUGACGUUGUUAUUAGAUAAACUUUCUGCAAGAAUGCAAUUCAGAAUUUCUGCUUCAGGGAGGUGAGUGCAUUAACCCAGAAGAGGGGAUUUUAGUACAUGAAACAAACUAGUUCCAGAGUCAUAUUGCCAGUUUUGGAAUUAAAACAAAUGAAUUCCAGUUUUUCAAAAUGCCUUUUGGAUUAUGCUAAGUGAAAUUUAGAUGCUAAUAAAAUAGGGUAUAAUGCUAAAAUUAUCCAAUGCCACCAUUCACCUCAAACACAAAAAAUGGAAACUAGAAAGAGACUUAAAAGGAACACAAAAGUGGGUUACAAGAAAAAACAUUUAUUAUUGGAUGGAAGAGCCCAACAGUCACCCAUAAAAUGCCAAGAAGAAAGGGUUUUUCAUCAAGAUUCCAACCUCACACUCGAUUGCCUCAAAAUUCCUUGAAUUUCCAAAGAACUUAACCGAUUAAAUGGAUGCAUGACAGAUAAAACGACAAGAAAUCAAAUGAGACACAUAAUAAUCAAAGAACACAUACCUAGGACUUGAGGGGUAGACACAUCCAGAUGAUGCCGCUGUAGAAAAAAAAAUGCACAAGAAAUAUAUGAGCAUUAAUAAAGUGAAAUUCUAGAACAUGUGGCCAAAAAAAGAUGCAUUUGGAAGUACACUUACCUGGUGGAUUUGCACUGGUUGUGGCAGCACCUGCAAAAUCACAUGUUCCUUGAGCAUUACCCUUUCUCUGGUAAUAGCUAUUAACUGCAUAAUUACAGUGAUCCUUCACAGUGUUGGGUUGGUAACAUGCUCCAUUUUGGAGAAUAGGGGAACAGUCAGCUCCGGCUCCACAAGCAUAAUCUAUUGCUUUCUGCAGGGCUUGAUCACCAACACCAUCUUUGCAUAAGCAGUAAAGAGCGCCUAUUGCAAAUCAAAAAAUCAGAAACAUAACAAAAAGGUUAUUUCAUACCAUAAGUCAAUUUAACAACAUGGGAAACAUGUUUUACAUAAAUAAAAAGGUCAAAACUCCUUUAGUCCUUAAAAUAAUUCCAAAAGCUUUCAUCUUUCUGCAGAACAGUGGAGAAGACCCUUUAUAGAAAAACCCCAAAACUAAAGCAAGGAAAAAGCCCAGGAACUGGAAUUCAUCAUAUGAACCCACCCCAGAAAACCAAAGGCCGUCCAUCACUUCUCAAAAGAACUUUUAAAAUCAAAUGUUGAGUCUUUAGAAGAAAGAUACAAGAAUCAGUGCAUGUACUUACUUGAAUGACGAGUCAGGGCCAGGAAAAGCACAAGAUACACAAAAAGAGCCAUAACUUGAGAACACUAUUUAUUUGCGACCAAUUGAAUGAGGCUGAUGGAGCUAUUUGUGUCAGAGGCAGAUAGAAAGCAAGGGAGAUGAAAAGAAUAAGCCUUGGGAGAAUAAUGCGUAUUUUCUAGGACAAGAAAAGACUAAUCUCUGUCAGAGGCACUAUUUAACUUGUUUGUGUUCUACAUUAUUAAAUUAUAUAUUUCAGUAACAGACAACGAAUGUGUGCGUUUUAUUGGAAAUUGUGUAUGUAUCACACAAUACACGUAGCUUUUUGGAGUUUUAAGUUGAACGGCUACUUUGUUUUCUGUCCUAUAUUUUGACUUGUACCAUCAUCUUGUGGUUUGAGUUGAAAGUUUUUGAGUGUGAAAGGGUAAUGGUUAUGGAAUGGAACAGUGCCAUGGGAGACUUGUCAUAAGAGAGGGUUUUUCAAAAUUUAAUGACACCACACAUAUUUUGAAAAUUAGGUCAGAAACUGAAGAGUUCAUUUUGUAACUACAAUUGAUAAUUCAUUAUUAGCAAAUUCUUUUUAAAAAUUAUUUUUCUCUAACAUAAUCGAUUAUCAUAAGUGAUAUUCGAUUAUUAGUGAACCUUUUUGCCAAUUUUAAAUUUGAUUGAGAUUAUCAUAAAGGUUUUUAGAAUAAUAAAUUUUUUCCUAAGUGCUCUAUUGUUUGGGUUUUUCCUAUUGAAUCUUAGUAUACUAAUGUAAAUAAAGUACACAAAUUACAAGACUUCAACUAAAUUCUUAAAUCUUCAAUGUAUUUCUUGAAUCCAAACAUUCUUUAAAUCUUGAGCACUUCUCUAUUCAUCUUAUUGAAGAACUGAGAUAAUAGGAUUAAUCAUGAAGGCGAGCUCUCCAACUUAUUCUCAUAGUAAGUUGGUUUUUUUACUUCUUUUCCUUUCUAUGUUUUAUCUUCCUUUUUAUGUAAACCAGUUGUGGUUGCAUGUGACAUCUAAGUGUUCUAUAAGACUCUUUAUUUAUUAGUGGUUAUAAUGGUAUGUCAUGAUCAUGUUUUUGUUGUUCAUAGGAGCAAAUAUAGUUUCUUAUGCUUUUGGAGCAGUUUUAGGCUUUUUAGAGUAUUUUGGUCAUCUAUCAGGUAAGUGAAACUAACUACCACUUUUUAAUGUUGUUGAUGUUUUGAUGAAAUGUGCUACAUGUUUGAUUUGGUCUAAAUUUGGUAGUUUGACAUGUAGUGUUUCUAUUGUGUUUGUUGUUGAAUAUUGCUUGUUUUUUGUUGAAAUUAAUGUUGAGUUGAGAAAUUGAGGAUAUGGUCAUUUGAGCAAAUUGAUAUUCAUUUUGACACCUAAACCUGUUUUUGAAACAAGCACUAAUUCAGGAAUAUCAAUUUGAUAAUCUGAAUAAGUCUUUGUUUACCAAAAUCAUAGUGUUGAAGUUGCUAAUUUCUGAUAUGUUGUUGAGCUACAUUGGUAUGGCAUUCAGCGCAAGCUUGUUUGUGAACGUCUAAGAGCAUUUUAGUUUCAGACCACUAAGCACUAGGUUUAUGUCGUUGAGCGACCAAAUGUGCAAAUGGUCUAGCAUUGAGCAGUGACGGAGUACCGUUGAGUUCCACUCUUUUCUAUAGAUCUAAAACCUCUUUCAUCUUGUUUCGUUGAGCGAUAGGUUGAUUUCCCUAAGACAAUUUGAGAGAGCUCUGGCAUUGAGUGCUAGAACUAACGUUGAGUGCGUCCCCAUUGUAAGAGGUUUUGUGUUGAGCGUCAGUUUGUGCAUUAUUGUGGUUUUUUGAAUUUUAUGAUUCUUUGUCUUAGUGAAGUGGUUUAUUUUUAUAUUCUAUGCAUGAUUAUUAUAGAUUUGAGAUUGAUUAUGGUGCUUAUGUAUGCUUGAUAUGUGUGAUGUUGUUUCUAUGGAUGGAGAAUAUGAUUUAAGAUGUUGUUGAGAGAAUUUCAAGGACAAAUUAUGUUAUGUGGUAACGUUAGUGUAUGCUUUGACAUAUGUGAGUUCUUAAAGUGAGGUAUCCUGAACUUUAAUAACUAUUCACACUCAAAUAGAGUAGAAUGAGUUAUUUGGUGAGAGUAACUAGUUAGAUCCUAGACGUGAAAGGGGAUUAUCCUCGUGAGUAGUAGGGUGAUAACCCCUUUGUUUAAGACUAUGCAAAAUAUAAAUACUACCACAAGUUCACACCUACAUUGAAUACAUAUGUCAAAUCAUGGACCCGAAUAAUUAAGUCUAGUUUUAACUGUUUUGUGUGUUGGUAUGAGUUAUUGUGUUUUAUAAAUGUUUAGAUUAAAUCUUUUGGUAUAUUAACUUAGGCAUAAUGGUUACUGGUUUGAAUUUUAAUUAUUAGUGAUUGCUAAAGUUAUUAUAGGGGAAAGGGUGAGAACGACCCAAGGGAGAGAGAAACAUCUAGAAAAGGUAAUACUAGCUAAUUUGAAUAAUUAUGCACUAUGGAUAUGUCUUACUUUAUGCAUACAGCUAGAGUCAUUAGUUAAUGGUUUUAAUGUGGAAAUUUAACUUUGUUAUGGUCAUUCAAUUCAGUGGAAUAAGAGUCCCGCGAAGAUUGGUUCUCACUUUGAUCCAAACAAUGAUUUGUUUGUUCCAAGAGAAAAGAUGUUAUCACUUUAACAAUUUUGAUAGUCAUGACUGCCUUGCUUGUAGGUUUGGGAUUUGUGAUGGGUCCAGUUCAAUUGCUUAAGCUUUAUGGCAUUCCGUAUGUUGUAAAUUCCUUAUCCUUUUCUAACUACGAACUAGAAACUUCAUUUAGAACAAGUCUUUUUUUUUUUUUUACUAACAACCAAUGGGUUUUAUCUUGUAUUCAAUUUGAUUUAGUUUUCUCUCCAUUAUUGUGUGUUCCUAAAAGAUACUAGACAUUUGUUAAUUAGAUCAUAGAAGAAGCUUUCUUGUUAUUAGUUGGAUCAAAAAUACAUGUAAUAGAGAAAACUCAUUAGUUUUAAUUUGCAGUAGAGAAUAUCAACAAGGAUGAUAUAUAUUAGGUACCAUGGAUAUCAAAGAUGCAUAAUUGGAAAAUGUUAUGUUGUACUACCUUUGAUUUACAUUUAGAGUGGCGAAAUUUUGUUAACUGCAAAGUCAAAUCUUUGUUAUUUUGUGGUUUGUAUUAUUAUUAUCUACAGGUUAAGGUUGUGUUUAUGAUUGGUGAAAAAUUGGAACAUAUUUUAGUAUCGAUAUUUUGUGAUAGUUGGGAUGGGUUCAUUAGGCAAUUGGAGAGUGUGUUAUCUUUGUCCAAUGGGUCGAGUGAGUUAGAGUUGUGGCUUUUCGUACAAAACGUGUCAAGCGACGCCCUUGUUCGUAUAGGCUUUGGAAGUAGCUACCAAGAAGGAAAAAGGUAUUUGAAAGCAAUUGACAACGAAAUAGGAACAUCAUUUAUGGGAAUCAUCAACUGAAGAUUGAAAGCAAUGGAAGCAGGGGAGCCUACGAACAAUCAAUUGUUAGGCAUAUUGUUGGAAUCAAAUUACAAGGAAUAUGAAAAAAAAAGUAGUGGUGGAAUAAGUUUAAGGGAAGUAGUUAAAAAAGUGAAGUUGUCUUACUUGACAGGGCAUGAAGCAAAUGUAGAGUUAAACUUAUCUCUCCUAAGGAUUUUGUUUAGGUUAUCAACAUUAGUCCAUAAGUUUUCAAUUGGCUUGAUACCGUGUAGGUUUUUAGUCAAUAUUGUAAUGUUCUUUAAACAUUGUGUAUUCUUUUUCUUAUAUUUACAUUGUAAUUGUUAAUGUAUUUUAUUUUAAAUUAUUAAUAAAAUUAAUUUUGAUUAAUUUCUAUGUACUUUACAAUUAUAUAUAUAUUAUUUAUUUUUCAUGAUAAAAAAACCAAUUUCAUUAAAUUAAUAAAUUAUGAACGUAAGUGGAUAAUUACAAAUAAAGGAGGUUUCAAACCUCCACAAAAUAAUAGUCACUAAUAUAAGAUGUUAAAAUCUUCCAUAAAAAAAGACUUCUAAAAUAUAAAUCCAAUACUAAGGUCACCAAAAACCUCUACAAAUCGAUUGUGGCGACUCUAUAGGUUAAGGUUUGAAAAACUACCAUAAAUUAAUUAACAAGGGUGAAAACCUUCACAAUUUUUUUUUUUGAAAAAAAUCUUCACUAAAUAGCAAUUUUUUGUAGUGUUAAUUUAUUCUUUUACUUUUGUUUAUUUGUUUGUCUUUCUUAUUUACAAUGAUCACCUAUUGUUGUAAAUAGGUAAAGAUGUUUUGGUUGAUUCGAUGUAAAGUAGAGGAGAUACUACAACUUAGAUUUAAAUUUGUUUUGUCUAAUAUAAUUCUUUUUCUUUUGAAAAAAAUAUAAUGUAUAUUAGAAUAUUUAUGUGUAACUUUAAUACAUGCUUCAUAGAUAACUAUAAUAUAAUAAUUAUAUCUAUAUCUCAUCCGUUAGAUUGAUUAUUAUCUUUACAAUAUUCAUUUUAACAGUUUUACACUAUUAAAAUCAAAGGUUACGUUACACUAAGUAUAAAUAUAUUAAUUUGAUAAACAUUGUAACCUAAACAUUAAUCUAUUAUUUUCUAAAAGAAUUUAUGGUAAGAGUGCUCAAAUCAAAUAGCCUAUUUUACCAAAAAUAAUUAACAUUUCAAAGGAUAUAUAAAGGAGUUAUUUUUAAGGCACGGUUUAAAUGGAUCUUACGUUCUCAAGUUAAUCUAUUUGCCUUUCACAAUCUAAUUCAUUCAUAAUUAUAAACUAAGAAAAGUAUCAUUUUUUCCAUUUUAAAAUCAAAUAACAAAACCAGCACAUAUAACCUUUUUCAUUUACUUUUAUUUUAAAUAAAAGUCAUUCUUUUUCUGAAAAUGUUAGAACCACCGACCAGCUCAUUUGCUGACAUGCUAAACAGAUAACCGUUGGAUAUUUACAAAGAAACGUCAAUAUGACAUGUUUGUUUAUAAAAUUUAAAUAUUAAAAUGACAGUUGAAUCUAAUUAAAUUUAAUAAGUUAAUUCUACUCGAUAAAUAAUUAAAUGCUUCACAUUAUUAUGAUAAAGAAACAAAACUUGAAUGAUUGACCGUUGUUGACUUUCAAGUUUGAAAUUUAUAAAAAUCCUAUAUAAUCAGUUUUAUGACCACCAUUCUUUUUAAAUGAAAACUUUAGAAUGUGAAAAAAAGAAAAACAAGUAUGCAGAGAAACAUAUAAUAAUUGACAAAAAAUUAAUACAUAAAUAAUAUUUUUAUAGUUAAAUAAUCACUAUAUGUGAAAACUGGCAAAUAAAUUAACUGGUAGAUUAUUAUAAACUAGUAUUUAAAUGAUAAAGUACUUGUUAAAUUAGAGUUUGACACUAAUAAAAAUUAGGUGGUAGUUUAUAAUUUUUCGAUUAGUUAAUUAAUUUAUAAAUUAGUUUAUCACUUUUUUCACAUUUAUUUUUCAAAUUUACUCUUUAAAUUAAAAUAAUUAUUUUAUCAAUUUUACCAUUUUUUUUAAAAUUUAAUUAUUUCUUUUUUUAAUUUAACCAUUUUUCUAAUUAUGAAACAAGCUAAUAAAUAAAUAAAAACUAUUUACAAUAAAAUUAUAAAGUUAUUUAUAUUUAAUUUUAUAAUUAUAAUAAUAACAAUAAUAGAACUUUUCUUAUCUUUUAUUAUCUUAAAAAGAAAAAAGUUAACACAUAGGAUUUCAUUUAUAGGGUUGCAUGUGUUUUUAUCAGUAUACAUAAAAGAACUUAAUAUCAAGACAUGCCGUUUUUACUAAUAUAUACGUUUUCAUUAAUUAAUAUAACUAUACAUACAUACAUACAUACAUAGAUACAUACAUAUAUAUAUAUAUAUAUAUAUAUAUAUAUAUAUAUAUAUAUAUAUAUAUAUAUAAAUAAAAGGAAGUUACAUCUUUUAAGUGUUUUUUUUUCGUUUUUCAAUUUUAUCCUUUUAAUUACUAUAUUUUAAAUUUAAAUAAUUAUUCAUAACUAAAAAAAUUAUUUUUCAAUUUUAUCAUUUUAAUAACUAUUUUUUAAAUUUAAAUAAUUAUUUAUUAUAAAAAAUAUUUACUCUUUUAUCAUUUUAGUAACUAUUUUUUCAAAUUUAAAUAAUUACUCAUAAUAUUAUUUGCAUAAUAAUAUUUUUUAUUUUAAUAAAUAAAAUUUAUUUUAUCUAUAAUUAUUCAUAUCUAUAUAAAUUUUUAUUUUUUCAAUUUUAUUCUUUUAAUUGCUACUUUUAAAAUUAAAAUAGUUUAUAAAUUUUAUAAAAUGUGUAUACACACGGACGAUAUUAAGAUAGUAUAUAUAAAAAGCAUUAGUUUUGUUAACUGAUUGAUUUUUUUCGUGUACACAUCUCUACUUAUUUUACCUUUAUUAAUAUAUAUUAUUUUAUUAAUUAUAUUCUUCUUUAAACUUUGAAUCUAUCUUUUAUAAUUACUUUUUAAAAAUAAUUUUUUUUUAUAAAUUUAAUACCAUUUUUAUUUUAAUAAAAAAUAAUUUUUAUUUUUUUUUAUAAUUACAUAAAAGUAGAUACAUGUAAUGUUAAAUCUCUCAUAUUCUUCACGGUUCAUUUAUGUGUUUUUCAGUUUUAGAAUUAAUGGUUCAAGGUGAGAAUCAGUGAUUAGAACAUGUUAUUUUGGUCAUUUGUAACUUGUUUGGGAUGAGAAUUAGUUGAUAUAUGUGUUAGAAUGGAGUGGUCUCAAGAUGGAAUGUUCACUUUGGUUUUGUCGUUACAAUGUAGAAGAGUUUUAUUUUGGUAAUGAGAUAGUAUAGUUGGAAACUGUGCUACUCAAGAGUGGAGAUCAGUAAAGCAAUGUGAAAUCUUCAUAAUGGAUGUGGUUAAAGGUGAACAAGAGCAUAACAGCUGGUAGUUAAAUCAGAAGUUGUAGUGAUUAAGUUAGUGGUAUGGAGGUUCUUAGAAAAAGCAAGAGGAGGUAAAAGAGUAUCAGUCAAGGGUUAAUCUGAAGUCAAGGCCAACAGAAGUUGUAGAAGAGAUUUAAAAUAUGGUUAGUUAUGUGAAAGAAAAGUUCUUAAGAGUUGAGGUUUAGGGGUUCAAAUUUGUUUUGAGAAUAAUGGCUAGACCAAUCUACACUAUUGAACACCAGAGCGUUUUAGCAUAGAGACAAGAUUUUUCAUGUUAGUAAGAUUUUUGGGGAGUUAUCUAUUUGUCAAAUAGGUGGUUGUGAUAGAAAAUGUGAGGAUAGUAAGUUGUUCCUUCUAUUUGAUAAGUGAAUUUUCGAGGACCAAUAUUUUUCUUGUUGGAGAGAAUGCAAAACCCCAGAAACUGUGGUGGUAGUCUAAAAAUAGUGAUACUCGAUUAUUUUAAUGUUAAAUGGUUUUAUUAUAAAUAGUUUUGUUAUAAACGAGUUUCAUUAUUUUAAAACUUAUCAUUUCUCUAGAAACCACUUUCUAGAGUUCUCUACCUUUUCUUUAAGAGUUCUAACUCCUAAGUGAUCUCUUUGACGAUUAGGAGGUACCUAAUCGACCACGACAAUGAGGCUUAUGUUUCUACCCGAUUAGUUUCUUCAAUAGACCAAGUAAGUUUCGACUCUUUUUUCCCUUUUCGUUCCCAAAUCUCUUUAUGAGGAAUAUUGUACUAUUACAUGUGUAAUCAUGCCUCCACUACUCGUUCUUGAUUUAUCUAGAGUUCUAAGGACUCUAUCCGUUUUCAAUUUGGUAUUUCGUAGGUUCGUCUAGGUAUUCCUUGCAGUUCAAGUAAUCGGCGGAGCGUUCUUAGAGUUGGGCAAUUUCUUUGAGAGGUAAGGCAAGCUAGUGUUUUAUCUUAGUUAAAUUAUGAUGUAUGAAUUGCUAUUUAAUGGUGUGUAUAACUAAUCUAUGUUGUUGGUGAUGUUAAAGAUUAUUGUUAUUAAGUAUUAAAUGUUUGAAAUGAUGGAAAUUGGUUGAAUGAUGUAGCGUACCUUGCUGUGCUCAUUUGGAAUUGACUAAUUUUCAUGAUUGCUUCUAUUGAAGUGCUUGAUGGUAUCAAUUUGGUUAGUAAGUUGAGAAUAAGUUAUAAGUGGUCUUCUAUAGUAAAAAUUGAGGUUUGAUAGGUGAAUUUUAGAAUUAAUGGUCUAAGGUGAGAAUUGGUGGUUAGAACGUGUUAUUUUGGUCAUUUGUAACCUUUUUGGGAUGAAAAUUAGUUGGUAUGUGUGUUAGAACGGAGUGGUAGUAAUUUUUGGAGUAAUUGUAAAGUUGUUUAAGUGUAUUUUGAGGGUUUGAAAUAGUGAGAUUUUGAAUUCUAGGUUCUGUGUCUAAGUGGUCAUUUUAGAGAAUGUUAGUAAGUCAUUUGGGACUUGUUGGAGCAUUUAAGUUGUUUAAAAACAAGCUAUAAUUGGUGGAAUUCAAUUUGAGUCUCUAAAAUAAGGUUUUGGUUAAUUUUAUAUUGAAAUCUUGUGGUUAAUUAGUUUAAAACGAGUUUAUGUUAGGUCAAUUUUAGUCUAAAAUACAUUUUAGGGGUGUUAGAAGUUGGAAAAGAUGCAUAGGACAAGUCAUGAGGGGUUGAAGUUGUAGAAAUAUACAGUCUCGCUAAGCGAGUGUGUGUCCACUGAACAAGCAUAACACUUCUAGCUGAGCGAGAGUUGUCACUGAGUGAGAGGUGAGCGAGCAUAGCCCACUGUUUUUGGUUUCAUUGAGCGAGUCUUGCUGCGUUGAGCGAGUGGGCUGACAGACAUUUUUAGUUGAGCGAACAGAAUUGGUGACUGAGAAAAAAUAUCAGAUUUUCAACUAUGUUUUUAUAUAUUUUCUUAAAGUUUGUGCAAUGUAUGUGAGUGUUUGAAUGAUUGGUUUCUACUACUUGUUGUGGAGUAUGAAUUGAUUUGUAAUAUGAAUUGGAAACAAGGAUAUGUAUGUGAUCAGUGAUGUUAUGUGUGGGAAUUCAAUGUGAAAGUAUAUGAAUAUAAGUAUGGUUUCAAAUGGAUUCAAUGUAAAGGUGAAGUGAUAUCAAUGGUUCCAAAGUUGUGAACAUGGGUUCCAUAGAGGAAUUCCUUCGGUAUGGUUUCAAGUAUUGAUAACAUGAAUGACUAGAGUUAAGCUGGGGUUUAUCCUGACAUUCUAAUGAUCAUCCAUGCUCAAGUAGAGAGUGAUGAGUCGUGUGGUGAGAAUAGCUGGAGGUGCUAGUCUAGGGGCUUUACCUUGGCUUAAAGCAAGUGAUAACGAACUAACCUGGUGUGGUAGCUUGUGAUAGUCCAGCUGUUCCACCACACCAGUGCAGGAACCUUUGUAACUCAACAUUCCAUCCAAUGUUCGGAUUAGUCAGUCUAGGUCUUUGCAUGUUAAGAUGUUUGGGUUGAUGUAUGUUAUAUGUGAUUCAUGUUUGCUAUGUUCUAAAUAUUAUAUGAUUUGUUUUGUAUCAUUAGUUUACCCUUGCUUUUGUGUUGUUUGUUUGUGUUAUUUUUUUCUUUGCAAUGAUCACCUUAAUGGUAUGAGCUUAAGGAUAUAGUCUUUUCAGUUGUCUCAGCGUGAGAUUGGGAGUGAAGCAAUAGUUUCUUUUGUUCUCCAUGUGAAGAAUUUUUUUCAUCACAUAUCUGUAAUUCUUGUUCUAUCACAUAUAUGUAAUGUUUAUUUUAAUAGUUUUAUACUAUUAAAAUGGAAUGUUACAUAUAACAUAGAAAUAUUAAAUAUACACACUAAACGGAAAAAUUCCUAAUUCUUAUUAAAAAAAAAUUAAUGUUUCCAUUUAUUUUUAAAAAAUUGUAUCUUAUUUUUUAUUUGAAAAAGUUAUUUUUAUCUAAACUAGUUAAUUUAACAAGUAUUACUCAAAUUUAAUUUUUACUUAUUUUUAGAAAUUAAAAUAUUUUAUUUACCAAUCUAUAUAACUUACUACUUACAUUAAAUUUAUUUCUUAAAAUAUUUAUUUUGUAUUUCCUUACCUCGUCAUAUAUUAAAAUUAGUUAUGCUAAUGUUAAUUGUUUUAAAUUUAAACUUAUCCAUAAAAAAUUAGAAAGUAAUCUAACAUAAAUAAAAAUAUAACAAUUAAUUGUCUAAAAAAACAUGUUAUAAUAAGUAAAACAUAAAUUUGAGGGAAUAAAAAACUUAUUAAAAUAUAGAAAAUAAUAAUAUAAGAAAAUUCAAUAAAUUAAAAAAUUGUUUUAAUUAAAGUAACUUGUAGUAUACAUUUUUUAAAGUAAACUAUUUUAAACAUUUUACCAAAUACUUACGUAUUGAUGAAGUUAACUUACAUGUAAAUCCCAUAAAUUAAUAAUAUCUUAUUCAAAAUAUCAAAUACACCAUAUAAAAAUCACUAGCCUUUUGGAAAGCAACACAGUUUUUAUAUGGUAAUUAAAAUUGGAAAAAGAUAUUUUUAACACAUUUUUUAAAUUAAAAAAUAAACUUUAAUUUUUUUCUUCCAAAUAUACUCCUCGUCCAAUCACAUUUUGACACAUGUGCAGUGUCAAAAUAGAGUCAAAAAAUGAUGUUAAAAUAUCAUUUUCCAUUAAAAUUAUAAAAAUGUAUUUUAAAAACCAAAAUUUUAAUAUCAACGUCAAUCUAAUGAAAUAUUUAUCCAUUAUGCGUGAUUGAAAUUCUUAAAAUCAAUCACGAUUUUAAUUUAAAUAAAAAAAAUAGAGGUUUAAAACAAUAACAUUAAUGAUGUAUGUUCAAUCGUGAUAAAGAGGUAUUCUAAUAUGAUAGAAGAGAAACAUCUGCAGCAUGGAGGAAGAAAAUGGAAAGAGAGGAACCGCCAUAGUCGGAGAAGGAAGAAGCUCAUUUUCGUUUUUCAUGGCCCAAGUGCAAAAUUACGAGAAACAUGAUUUAAGUCUCAAAAAAACAGAAAUUCUGAGUAAAAUAUGUAAAUUAUCCAUUACUACAAUUGAGAAGUUUAAGAUAUAAGGAAUGUAAACUAAAAAUAAAAGCCGCAAGUAGAACUUUUCUAGCAUUGUUUGUAUGCAACGAAAGCACAAUAACUAUGAAGUAGCUAUAAUCUGCAUUUUCUGCUCCAAAUGAACUGCAAUGCUUCAGACGCAGACGUAUCUUAUCUUCAGUGCUGUAAAACAAACAAAAAGAAAUGUCAACGGAAAUUAUAAAUACCAAUAGUGCAUCAAAAUUUUUGAGCUAGUAAACCAUGAUUUCUGUUUGACCAAAAAUGAAAAUUAACUGAUAUUAAUUGAAGCAUUGACUAACUUACCAUUCCAAUGCAAGCAUUUCUUAACCGAGUUAAUUGUUGAGCUAGAAAAUCAUGAUGGCUUUUUGACCAAAAGAAAAUUACUAGGCAUUGAUUAAAACGUUGACAAUCCUACUCUAGCUCACACCCUUUUUCAUUACAGAACAUCGUUCCUUUUAACUUCGGAUUGAAACCAUUUGAUACAACACACUCACAGAAAUAAUGCAAAACAUAGUUGAAAAAAAUUUUAUACUCAAACCUCAGGAGCAGCAGGUUUGAUUUCUUCUGGUUUGAUUUCAUCACCUGCAUGAGUGUUAAUGAAGUGUUUAGAGUGAGCAUGUGUUUAUGUAUGAGUAUUACUCUUGUAAAUCCUCAUUAUCGAGAAAGAAAUUAUUAGCAUAUAUACUUCUGAAGAAUACUUGUGUUGCACAGUAAUUAAAAACCUAAAUUCUGAGUGCAGUUUAUUUUAUGAUACAAGGAAGACAAAGAAGAUUUUACUAAUAACAAGUAGCUCUAGAAAAAAGGGUGAAAUUCAAAGGCAAGCAACUAAUUCCUUUCACUUUACUCUAAUGUGAUUUUCCUUCAAAGUUUCCAAGAGAGAGAGAGAGAGAGAGAGUAGUUGGCUAUGGUGACACUGCAUAUCAAUCUCUUUCUAUCUGUGUGAGACAUAAUCAUUUCUCCAAAAGUAAGACUUACUACAAUAAGUAGUGAAAAGGGGUUUAAAUUUAUUGAUGAAUACGAUUUAUUAAUUACGAGUUGGAAAUAUAUCUUUCUCAUAAUGGGCUUUAACUACUCUAAUGAUAAUAAUAACACAACUUUUCCAACAUUUUCUCUUCACUAGAUAAUUAAAAUUUAUGAAAAACUUACUAAUCCACAUCAUUAAUGUCAUGUAUAAAGUUUGAAUGGUGAUGAUGAUACCUCCAUCCUCGGGCAAAUCGGAGGUCCAGAGAGUGAGAUUGUCUCUCAAGAGCUGCAUGAUCAAGGUGCUGUCCUUGUAUGACUCUUCACUCAAGGUGUCUAACUCAGCAAUUGCUUCAUCAAAAGCUUGCUUAGCCAAAUGGCAGGCCCUGGAAGUUUUAUCAAUAACUAAGUAUAAAUCUCGUAGCAGUGUUGGGAAGCACAAGGAUGUGUAGAAAGUGACAACGUCCUAGGUUUCAGAAAAAGUGUGAUAAUUUAUGAACAUGUUACAUAAAUUCAAUGACAUGCAUGAACCAAUGGAACUAAAUAAUUUUGGAUUUUGUUUUCUGAUCCUUAGCAAGUAGCUGAAACAAAAGAGAAAGGAAGAAAAUUUUACCUUUCAGGAGAGUUCAUUAUCUCAUAAUAGAAGACUGAGAAGUUGAGUGCAAGUCCAAGACGAAUUGGAUGUGUUGAUGGAAGAUCUGUGUUUGCUGCAGCUAAAGCAGCCUAACAAUAAUAGUUUGAACAUCAUCAAACAAACAGCACCAGAUAUAGAUAAACAAAAUAAAGUAUAAGAAAGUAUAGAUGAAGGAGUUCAUUGCUGAAAUGAGAGACAAUAGAUACCAACCUCAUAUCCCUUCAGUGAUUGCUCAGCUGCCUCCUUUCUUUCUUGGUCGGUCUUGAACUCAGCUAGAUAUCGAUAAUAGUCACCCUUCCUGCAUCAAAAGGAAUUGAUCAACACAGAACCUAAGCAUGCUAAACCCAUGUAUGAAGAGCGAUACAUAAUGACACACAAUCUUCUUUCUUGUUUUACAAGGAAUAUGUUUGUCUGACUUAUGAAGUGAGAGAUUCAAUAAAAAAGAAAGAAUAUCACACUCAUUAGUUAAUGUUAUUCUCUAAUGAGAAUUUGAAGAAGGUAAAUAUUUGAUAAGAAAAACGGUAACAGAGAAGAUGACUGACAUCUUAUAGUAGAAAACGGUGGCUUCUCCUGAGGUGGAAGAAGGAACAAGAUGCUUGUCAAUAAUUGACAGAAUAUCGCUGCAAAUUUUGGAGAGUUCCUCUUCCACUUUCUGACGAUAAUUCUUUAUCAUUUUUGCAUUGUUCUCAUUUCCUUUAGACUCUUCCUUCUGUUCAAUCGAUGACAUAAUGCGCCAAGAAGCUCUUCGUGCACCAAUCACAUUUUUAUAUCCCACCGACAGCAGAUUCCUCUCUUCCACGGUCAAUUCUAGAUCAAGUUUUGCAAUCGCCUUCAUGCAUUCAACCAUUUCUGAUGAAUUUCGCAUGUUAAUAUAUAUAUAUACAAACCAUUUUCAACAAAUCAUUCAAAUCAUUAAUCAAACAAAAUGAAUCAAAUGUUGUGGAUCCUUUUAAUUUGAUUCGUGGAAAGAUAGAAAAAGAAAACCUAGAUUCACACGUAUAAUAAGGUGGCAUAAUAAAAUAGAAAAAGUGAUGAUGAUGAUGAUGAUGACCUUCAUAUCUCUCAGCUUGCUCAGAGAGCUUGGCGAUGUAAACUUGGGUCUCUCUCUCCUUCUCCGAGGACAUUGUUAUGUUGAAUGAGAGGAAGAAGGGUUUGAAAAUGGAAGUGGUUGUGGAGAAGAAGAAGAAGAAAAAGAUGAUGAAGAAGAAGAUGAAGAAUAAGAAGAAGAAGAAUGCGAGAAAGAAGCCUAAGGAAGCGUGGAGUGUAUAUAUAUAUAGAAGGAACUGUUGUAAUUCUAGUUUCAAUCUUCCUUUUUCUUAGAACAAAACUAAUCACAAACCCUAACUUCUAGGACUUGUUAUAACAAUCUUCUAUAUAUAUCAUUUUAAAUUUUAUAAUUAUUGCAUUUAAUUAAUAUAUUUCUUUCACAUUCUACUCAAAUUGCUAGAUCUGAUUAAAUACAAAAAAUUAUGCAUAGAUUAUGUAGAGAAGAAUAAAAUAUUAAUACACCUCCUCUUACAUUUUUCCAUACAUGAUAAAUCUAUGCAUAUAGGUUGUAAAGGAGUUUUUUUUUUUUAAAAAUGUUAAGGAAAACAAAAACUUGAAAAAAAAAUUAAAACUAAAACACUAUACUAUAGGACCAAAGAGUUAUUCAAUAAUCCCUUUUACUAAUUGAAUUUAAUUUUCAAUUAUCAUUAUUUGCACACAAUACAAAAUGAUAAUUUCCAUAUAAGAUUUUAUGGAGCAUUAACUAAAUUUAUUUACUUGAAAUACAAAAUAUGUACUAUUGUCUAUUUCUGGAAUACAAUUUUUUGAAGAAAUAUUAAACAGUUAAAGUUUGAAUUGCUAAAACUGUUUGUUUAACUAAGAAUAGGAUGACAUGAAUUAUUCAAAAAAAUGUUUAGUAAAAGAGUAUUUCAUAAAUAAUACUAAGUAAAAAUUUUAAUUUAAUAACUAGUAAGAUAAAAAAUGAUUUAUAAUUUUAGAAUUGCUUACUGAAAAUAUGACAGCAUAGCGGUUUAAGGAACAUAUAAAACUUUAUGAUCAAUGUGGGAGAAAAGGUUUCCACCCUAAUCUUAAAUGUAAGACACUCUUAUGUAUUGUAAUUGUUUUAAAAAGUUUUACCAAAUAAAAUUAUAAAUGGUAAAUAUUUUUAUUGUAAUUAAGCACUAAAAAAAAAAAAGCCAAUCAUCAAAAUUUAUCGAAAAUGUUAAAAAUAUAUCCAUAACAAUUUUUUAUGGUUUUUUAGGGAUCGAAAUUUGUCAAUAAAAAUGUGAUCGGGUAAUAUUAUUGACAAAAAGUUAUAUUUCUUGGUAAUUAUCGAAGGAAAAAUUUAUCAGUAAUUAUUAAAAGAAAACUUCAUCGAUAAAUAUUGCGAUCUGGUUCAUCUUUCUCUUUUCUCCUUUCUUCUUCUUCCUUCUUUUAAAUAUUUUUUUUUUUAAUUUGUGCAUGGUGAUCCUACUAUUAAACUAAGAUCAAUCCAUCUUUAACUUAAUCUAUUUUCCAUCAUCUACAUAUCCACUCUAAAUAUCUUUACUACAAAAGCCAAAUUCUAAUCACCUACACGUAACAUAUACAAUCUCACUUGAAAAAAAGAGAAAUAAGGAAAAAUCUGUCUUAUUCAUUUGAAUAAAAUAUGAGAGAUAUAUACAAGAGAGAAAAUCUAUAAUUAUACUAUUUUAUCCCUAUAAUUAUUCUAUAAUAAUCUAACAUUAUUACUGUAAUUAUUCUAUAAUAAUGUAACAUUAUUACUGUAAAUNAGCUAUAAUAAUAACAAUAUAUUCUCUCAAUAAUCUCGGGAUAUGAUUUAUUUUCUAACACUCCCCCUUAAGUUGGAGAGUGAAUAUCAAUAACUCCUAACUUGCGCUUCAUGAUAGAGAACACUUCUUUUCCCAGUGGUUUAGUGAACACAUCGACAAGUUGUUCAGCUGAAGGUACAUAUUUAGUUGUGACUGAGUCAUCUUGAAUUUUAUCACGAAUGAAGUGGCAAAUCAUCUCUAUAUGUCUAGUUCUUUCAUGGAAAACCGGGUUAGCUGCAAUGUGUAAGGGUGCUUUAUUGUCACAAUAUAACAAUGUCGGUUUAGGAUGCAAUAUUCGUAAAUCUUUCAACAAUGAUCGUAACUAAGUCAAGUCACAACAAGUACUAGUCAAUGCUCUAUAUUCAGCUUCUGCUGAGGAAAGAGAAACCAUCUUCUGCCUCUUUGUUCGCCAAUAGAUAAGGGAAGAUCCCAAAAAAACACAAUAACCUGUAGUUGAUUUUCAGGAUACUAGGCAACCUCCCUAAUCUGAAUCAAAGUAAGCACACAAAGAUAAAUCAUUUUGUGAAGGGAUAAAUAGACCUUGACCUGGGUUUUUUUUAAAUAUCGUAGCACACACGUUGCAGUGUUCAUAUGAGGCUUGCAUGGGGCGUGCAUGAAUAUGCUUAGUAUGUGUACCGCAUAGGUGAUAUCUAGACGGGUAAUUGUCAAAUAAAUUAAGCGACCAACAAAUCGCCUGUAUAUUGACGGGUCCUUUAAUAAUUCUUGUUCAUAAGAAAACUUUAUAUUUUGUUCCAUGGGAAAAUCCACGGGCUUAGCUCCAAGAUACCCACCAUCUUUAACAAUUUCCAAAGCGUAUUUCCUUUGUGAUAUGAAAAUACCUUUCUUAGAACGAGAGAACUCAAUACCCAAAAAAAUUUAAGAUCACCCAAAUCUUUUAUCCGAAAACGAUUGUGUAGAAAUUGUUUAAGAUUGGAUAUAUCAAUAGGGCCAUUACCAGUUAUGAGAAUAUCAUCAACAUAGAUCAACAAAGCUGUAAAAGACUUGCCUUUUGUACAUGCAAACAAUGAGUAAUCUGCUUUUGAUUGAAUAAAACCAACACUUUGAAUAGCUGUAGAGAAUUUGACAAACCAUUGACGAGAUGCUUGUUUUAAUCCAUAUAAACUUGUUGAGGCGACACACAAGAUUCUCCCCAUGUCGCUGAAAACCAGGAGGAAAGGACAUAUAGAUUUCUUAAGAAAGAUCACCAUGAAGAAAAGCAUUAUGGACAUCAAGCUAAUAAAGAGACCAAUGUUGAGCAGUAGCCAAAGCUAAUAAAGAGCGUACUAUAACCAUUUUUGCAGUAGGUGAAAAAGUGUCAUGAUAAUCGAUACCUUCUAGUUGGGUAUAUCCCUUUGCAACUAGACGCACCUUAUACCGUUCAAGAGAACCAUCAGAUUUGCGCUUGAUUUUGUACACCCAACGACAAUCAAUAGCCUGCUUUCCAGGAGGAAGAGUGGUGAUAAACCAAGUAUUAUUGGCCUCUAAAGCAGCCAACUCAUAUUUCAUUGCCUCUUGCCAAUGAGUGUGAGAAACAACUUGAUCAUAACAUGUAGGUUCAAUAUCAUUAGUAAUAACGGCAAGAAAAGAACGAUGUUGAGGUGUGUAACGGUCAUAAGAGAUAAAAUUGCAAAGAGGAUAUCGUGUACCUUUAUUUGGAAAAGAUGAUGAGGAUGACAAUGGACUGGGAGACACUACCUGAUUGCAAAUAUAAUCUCGCAAAGUUGUAAGAGGACCAUGAGAUCAUUGAGAACAACGCAAGGGAACCAUAUGUGGGGAAGUAAUGGGAGGCAUAAUUAUGUUUUUUGUAGGUGCUGACUGAGUGUAUGAAGGACUCUCAUAUGGAGGAUUAUCUGGGAUAACAUUAGGUAUGACAGGUUCUAGGGUGGUUGGAGGAGUGUCAAUGGAUUCAUACGGAAAAAUAGCCUCAUGGAAGACAACAUCACGACUAAUGAAGACUUGGUGAGCUUCAAGAUCAUAUAACUUGUAAGCUUUUUGGCCAAGAGGGUAACCAAGAAAAACANAUCUUUGGGCANGAGGAGNAAACUUAUGAGAAACAUGAACAUUAGUAGCAUAAGCAAGACAUCCAAAAACUCUAAUGUGUGAAUAAGAAGGGAUUUUACUAUAUAGGCGCUCAAAAGGUGUCUUGUGUGAAAGAAGAGGUGUGUGCAACCGGUUAAUUAUAUGGACAACAGUGGAAACACAUUCUGCCCAAAACUGUAAAGGAAGAUAAGCUUGAAAACGAAGAGCUCGUGUUGACUCAAGGAUAUGUCUAUGUUCGCGCUCGACAACCCCGUUUUGUUGUGAUGUGUAAGUGCAAGAAUGUUGGUAAGUGGUACCUUGUUGUGUAAAAAAAUCUCGUAGAGAAAAAAAUUCCUUUCCAUUGUCAACCCGAAUAUUGGCUAUAUUGGUAUUAAAUUGAGUUUUGACUAAAGAAAAAAAAAAUUAUAAGAAGAUGUUAGGUUUCACUUUUAUGGUGCAUGAAAAAAACCCAAGUAAAGCGAGAAAAAUCAUCAACAAUAGUUAAAAAAUACCUAGUACCAGAAAGAGAAGGAAUUUUAUAUGGUCCCCAAAUAUCACAAUGAAGUAAUUGAAAAGGUUUAAUUGAAGAAAUAGAACUAGUUGGAAAAGGAAGUCGUGUCUGUUUUGCAAGAGUACAAACAUCACAACUUUUAUUUGACUCUAAAGAGAGAUUUAACAAAGUUUUAGCCAAGAAGUCUAAUCUAGAUGGAGAUAGAUGUCCUAGUCGUCGAUGCUAUAAGUUAGUAGAAGUGUUUGAAGGAGGAGAUGAUUUGGUGACAUGGGCUGCUAUGGAUUGAAUGGGAGUUUGUGACUUGUUUGAUGUAAUUGCAACGAAGUAAUAGAGUCCUCCUCGUUGUUUACCCAAACUAAAUUCCAUCCUCGUCAUCAAAUCCUGCAAAAUAAACCCAGAAGGAAAACAAGUUACUAAACAAUUUAAAUCUCGUGUGACUCGACUUACCAACAUCAAAUCUACUUUGCACGAUGGCACCCCAAGCACAUUUUUUAAAUAAACAAUUGGGCUCAAAGGUAGAGUGCCAGUAGAGAUAAUUGGGGCCUGGUCACCAUUUGGCAUAACAAUUGGUGGUAAAGAAGUGUUUUCUUUACUGUUAACAAGCAAGGUUGGUGAAGAAAUAAUGUGAUCGGUAGCCCUACUAUCAAUUAUAAGUUUGGGUGGUGACAAACCUGAAGAAACAUUGGCGUUGUUGGCCUGAUUGAGAUGAUUCAUUACCCUGUAUAUAGACAACAUUUGUUGGAGUUGUAAUUCAGUUAAUCCAUUCAUUGAAGACUGCAUCUGUUGCAUCAUUGGAGUCGCUGUAACAAUAUUAGCUAAAGACUGACUACUCCCAUUGUGCUUAGAGUAAGCAUUCUUGGUUGCUCCAUGCUUUGGGUGUUCAGGAGGGUAACCAUGUAACUUCCAACAUGUGUCUUUUGUAUGAUGAUCUCUAUCACAGUGAAAAUAAUGUAGCGGCUUUCGAUUAGAUGAAUUAAGACAAGAAGAAGAGCCUUGUUUGCGUCGAACAGCAAGGGCUACUGGUUCAUUUUUUUGAACAGCCAUGGCUGAAGCUUCUAUUGUGUCACAUGCGGUGCUCAAAUGUCACUGUUUUUCUUCUUAAAUGAUGGAAGAAUAAGCUUGUGUAACAUCAGGCAAUGGAUUCAUUAAAAGGAGUUGGCCACGAAUAGCACUAUAAGAGUCAUUUAACCCCAUGAGAAACUGCAUCAAUUUGCGCCUUUUACUGUCAGUUCCACAAGUGCAGGUUGCAUUGCUAUAGGAGCCUAACUCACCUCAUAAUUUUUUUAACUUUGUCUAAUAGGAUGCAACUGUCAUUUGAUCUUGAGCCAAGCAAGCAAUGUCUCUCUCAAUCUGAAAAAUUUGUGGUGCGUGGCUUUGAGAGAAACAAUUUUGAAGAUCUGUCCAAACUUCAUGAGUAGUGUCAUAGAAAAUAACACUAUCUACAAUAUCAUGUGCCAAAGAAUUAAGGAUCCAAGAUAACACCAUGUCAUUGCCUUUUUCCCAUGUUGUAUAUUCUUCUGGUUUGGCCUCAACAGAAGGUGCCGUGAGAGUUCCAUCAACAAAACCCAAUUUGGAUUUUGCAUUCAAAGAGAUGACCAUGGCUCUACGCCAAGUCGAAUAGUUGUAUCCAUCUAGAGAUUUGGAAACAAGAACCAUUCCAUGAUGGUAAAAAAGAUGGAGAGAAUAAGAACUAUUCAAAUUUUAUUCAUUUCCAUAGUUAGCCAUGGGAAUAAGGAUAGAAAAAAUUGAGUAGAGGAUCGUUCGUGCUUUGAUACCAUGUAAAAAAAGAAAUAAGGGAAAAAUCUAUCUUAUUCAUUUUGAAUAAAAUAUGAGAGAUAUAUAUAAGAGAGAAUCUAUAAUUAUGCUAUUUUAUCCCUAUAAUUAUUCUAUAAUAAUGUAACAUUAUUACUGUAAUUAUUCUAUAAUAAUGUAACAUUAUUACUGUAAAUCGGCUAUAAUAAUAACAAUAUAUUCUCUAAAUAAUCUUGGGAUAUGAUUUAUUUUCUAACAUCACUUAUUCAACCUAAGAAAAACAAAGACGGUGAGGAGUGGUGGUGACUCAUUGGAGUGGAGGUGACUCGCUGGCAGAGGGAAAACAUUUGUCAUUGAUGAUGUUUAAAGAUGCAAUGAUGAGCGGCGACAAUGAGGGUGAGACUGGUGACGACACUCUGACGAUACCUUAUAGGGUUUAUAGGUUUGAAGAAUUAGGGAUUUGGGUUUAUAGAGGAAAUGAAGAUGAAGAAGCUUGAAUGUAUUUUUACACCUCGAUUUCUACCACUUAUGUACCUACUAGGCUUUUUUUGGUAUAAAUUUGUCAUUUUUUUUUAUCGAUGAAUUUAGUGACAGAAAAACCCAUUUAUAAUAAUCAUAUUAAAUUAUUGACGAAUUUUAUUGAUGGAUUUUAAGAUUUGUAAGUAUUGAUGGAUUUUAUCGAUGAAAAAUAUCUAUUGUAAAUUAAAUAUGGAUUAUCGAUAAAUUUUUUUAUUAGUAAAAUUUUAUUACUAAAAUUUAUCGAUAAUUAAAAUUUCAGAAUUCCUCGAUAAAAUUUGUAAAUGAUUCCAAGAAUUUUUGUUGUGAUAAAAUGAUAUAUAUUUUGUUAAAACAAGAAAUAAUAUAUUUUGUUGUAAUUACUGAAUAUAUUAGUUGUGAAUUCAAUUUUCUUAAAUUACAAGUAAAAUGUUAGAAGUGAGUUUUAGGCAUGUUAGAAUGUGAGUUUAAGCCUAACUCACCCCACAAAAUCAACUUGUAAGGUGAGGAUUACACCUCACUUAUAUAUUAUAAAUUAGCCUUAUCUCUAGUCGAGGUGGGACUUCCAACACACCCCCUUCACGCCGAGGUAUAGACAUCUCGUGCGUGAUAGUAGAAAUUAGGUUGUCCAAUAUUGGCCCAACAACGGGUGGAAUAGAAACAGAAAUGCCCACUUAGAACUCGCUAGGAUAGGCUUUAAUCAUGACUCUGAUACCAUAUUAAGAAAGUGGGUUUUUAAGCCUAACUCAACCCUACAAAAUCGGCUUGUAAGAUUUACACUCACUUAUAUAUUGUAAAUGACAUUAUUUCUAAUCAACGUCAAACUUAAUACAUUUAGAUAAAAGAAUAAUAUCGAUUAAGUACUCCAUAGACAUAUAGAAAAUAGACUUCUUUAUGGUUUUCAUUUUAUUUUUACAUAAUCCUAAAUGUUAAAAUAGAGAGGUUACGAUAAUUAUAAUUUUUUUUAUUCUCUUCUUUAUGAGUUUAGAAAACCAAAUUAUUUCUGUUAAUUAUAUUUGUUAUUAUUGAUAAAAAAAAUAUAAAAUAUAAUAAGAAUACUCAUUGAUACUUUUAUUAGUAAACUUAAUUAUUUAGCAUAUCUAAAAGAAAUGUAUUCAAACAUUACAUAUACAUACAUGUAUUUUGUGAAUCAUGACGUGGUCUUUUAUAUUUUUUACGUUUUAUGUUAGAAGUGGGUUUUAGGCCUAACUUAACCCCACAAAACCGGCUUGUAAGGUGAGGUUUGCACCUCACUUAUAUAUUAUAAUUUGGCCUUAUCACUAGUCGAUGUGGGACUUCCAACACACCCCCUUCACGCCGAGGUAUAGACAUCUCGUGCGUGAUAGUAGAAAUUGGGUGGUCCAAUAGCAGCCCGACAACGGGUGGAAUAGAAACAGAAAUGCCCACUUAGAACUCGCUAGCAUAGGCUUUAACCAUGACUCUGAUACCAUGUUAGAAAAUGGGUUUUAAGCCUAACUCAACCUCACAAAACCGGGUUUUGCAAAUUAAAUAUAUACCUCGGCGUGAAGGGGGUGUGUUGGAAGUCUCAUAUCGACUAGAGAUAAGGCCAAAUUAUAAUAUAUAAGUGAGGUGCAAACUUCACCUUACAAGGCGGUUUUGUGGGGUUGAGUUAGGUCUAAAACUCACUUCUAACAUAAAACGUAAAAAAUAUAAAAGACCACAUCAUGAUUCACGAAAUACAUGUAUGUAUGUAAUGUGUGAAUACAUUUCUUCUUAGAUAUGCUAAAUAAUUAAGUUUACUAAUAAAAGUAUCAAUGAGUAUUCUUAUUAUAUUUUAUAUUUUUUUAUCAAUAAUAACAAAUAUAAUUAAUAGAAAUAAUUUGGUUUUCUAAACUCAUAAAGAAGAGAAUAAAAAAAAAUUAUAAUUAUCGUAACCUCUCUAUUUUAACAUUUAGGAUUAUGUAAAAAUAAAAUACAAACCAUAAAGAAGUCUAUUUUCUAUAUGUCUAUGGAGUACUUAAUUGAUAUUAUUCUUUUAUCUAAAUGUAUUAAGUUUGACGUUGAUUAGAAAUAAUGUCAUUUACAAUAUAUAAGUGAGUGUAAAUCUUAUUUUACAAGUCGAUUGUAUGAAAUUGAGUUUUGUUUAAAGUUCACUUCUUAACUAUCACGGGUAUUAGAGCUUAUUUUAGCAGAUUUUGUUAUUUGUUGAGUCUCUUAUUCCACUUCUUAACUAUCACAAGUAUUAAAGCUUAGUUUAGCAAAUUUUAUUAUUUGUUGAGUCUCUUAUUCCACUUGUUAUCGGAUAGCUAUUGGACCAUUCAUUAAUGUUUAGUGUCAUUCGCAAGAUAAAUAUAUACUUCAACCUGAGGAGAAUGUUUUAGAAGUUUCACAUAAACUAAAAAUAAGAUUAAUUCACAGUAUAUAAAUGAAUGUAAAUCUCAUCUUAAAAACCAAUUUUAUUAUGUUAAAUUAGCCUUAAAGUUUUCUUCUUAACAAUGAAUGCAUUGUUUAAACUUUUAUGUUCAUUUACAAAUCCACAUAUCCUAACACAUAUGAGAUUAUAUUGUUUUAUAUAUAUAUAUAUAUAUAUAUAUAUAUAUAUAUAUAUAUUAUUAAUUUUUUUAUGUAGUUUUAUUUAUUAUGUACAAUAAGAUAAUUAAAUAUAUUAUUUAUUAUAGAUUAUAUUGAAAUUAAGUGCAAUAAAAUAGUUUAACUAUGAUUGUAUAUUGUAGGAAUACUAAAUAAACUCACCUGUAUUAUUUUAACUCUUUUUAAUUUUGAAAACAAAUAAACAUUCUCAUUAACAUAUUAGUGUAUAUUUUAUUUUUAAAAUUGAAUAUAGAUAAAUAAAUGAAUAAAUGAGUAUGUACAAAUCUAAUUCCAUUUCUAUGUUAAUUUGAUUAAACAUCUAUAAUUCAUUAGAUAAUUUAAACAAAAUUAUUUUCAGUAUUUUAAGAUUUUAUAAUUUUUUUUCUUGAUAUUUCACAUUGAAGAAAAUAAUUUGUAUUCUUUAAUCCGUGAUAAUAUUAUUAUGUUUUGUUUGCUAUUAUAUUUAAUUUAUAAUUGGGGUAGUAAGAAAAAGGGUACAAAUGUAAAAUACAAGUAUACACAUAUUCUUUACUUUUAAUUAAAUAUUUGUUUCAUUCUCAAACUAUUUAUUAAGAUUGUAUUUCUUCAAAUUUUGUACCAAUCUUAUUCCUACAAUUUAUAAAAGAAUGUAAAAUGUUUUUAAGAAGAAAACAAUAACUAAGAAAGUUGAAGUUUAUCUCUUCUUUCUAGCUAUCACCAUUCGACUGGAUAAUACAAUUUCAGUGGAUAAUACAAAUAUUUAAUCCUACUUUUUUGUCUUUAAGAUUUAGGGUUUAAGCACUUAUUUUUCUAUUAUCUGUCACUAUCUUGUUAACUUAUUUUGUUUUCCAUAUUAAAAGUAAAAUAAGAAAGCAAUAUGUGUAAAACUUAUAUCAAAAUUAGAAACAAAUCCAAAGACAUAAUUUAUUUAAUUAAUAUUUUUAAAAGUUUCCUAUAUUUUCCUAUUUAUGUAAAAAAAAGUGUUAAGAUGAAGUUUAUUAUCGCAACUUUUUUUGCAAUUGUUUACACAAAAUCAUUUGGAAAUAAACUAAUUAAUAAUAGAAACUGUAUAAUUUUUACAAGGAAAAUUUAAUUAAUUUGCAUAACAAUGAAAAUAAAAUUUACAAAGUUUUAAUUCUCAAAUAAUUGAAUAUAUGUUCUAUUAGAAAUAAAUAUUUAAAAAAAAAAUAAGCUAUUAGUGAUGAUUUUAGAUCUAUUAUUUGCUUGGCUAUUAAAAAAGUGUUUUGGUUUUAAAGAACGUUUAUAUGAGAAUAAUGGCCUUUGAAAUGCUUUUCCUUCGAAAUAUUAAAUUUGAAAAUUAGAAGUAAGAGAAACCACUUGCAGCAGCAGAUAAAUCAAACUAAAUUGUAAUGUCAAUUCCACAUGCGAGUGAUUCCACAUAAUUCAAUUUCAUGGCCAUUCACAUUCUUUCUCAAAAAAUUAGAUAUUGUUCAACACAAGUAAUAGAAGUCCAAUGAUUGAUAAAGAAAUAUUAAAGUAAAAAAAAAAUAAAGAAUGCUAAUAAGAUAUUGGAAAAAUGAAUUACUACAAACUUCGACAAAAAAUAAAGUGUAACUAAAUUCAACAAGAACCUUCACAAUCUACAGCUUCCUCAAUCCUCUGACCAGGAUGUGGACACGAUUGAAAACGUCAAGGCUCUGAGCUUUGUAUAUACAAACAUGUGCCAACUAAACAAUCCAUUCUCUGAAAUUGCACAACACAGAUUAUAUCAGUUGUCAAUGCUCAUCAAACUGGAAUGACCGACACAAGUUUUGUCAAUGUAUCUAAAAUGUUGUAUUUUUAUACUACCCACUUUUCCCACUGCUUAGAAAGAAGGUUUAGAGGAAUUACCGAGCAAAAAAAUUGUAUUCAUUUAUCAUGGUGAGAUAUACUAGUUCUCCAUAAGCAAUUAUUUUUUCAAAAAAGGUUUCUGGCAAACAAGUAGCCGCUGGUCACUUCCAUUCUGAAGAUCAAUUACCCUUGCUUCCCAACGUACUUGUGUCGCAACCAUGCGAGCCAUCUCAAUAGCUUUCAUAGUAUCAGAAAUAAUGACCCAACCCUACAAAAACAAUGAAACGUAAAAAAAAAAAAAAAAAAAAGUAAGGCUUCAUUGACCAUUCCAAUAUACUGGGACUAAAGUACUUUGUCUUCAGAAUUAAAAAAUUUAGUAGAUUUAAUUAGUUGUAUAAAAUUAAUCAACAAUUUCUAUAAUUAGUUUUUUCAGAAUUAUCCUUAAAAUUAUUGGGAUACCGUUUUUAAAUCUCUUUCCACCCAAUUAAUUAAGGUAUCUCCACUAAGUACUGACAUUUUGCUUUCUACAGGAAAAGAUAAAGUGAAUGAAACGGAUACUUCUGAAUAGUGAAUAAUCUUUGUCUAUCCUCAAGAGAGAGGAUCUGGGUUCCAUAAAAAAAUUAGACAUUUGAAAGGGGUCUUAUGAUAAGAACUAUGGAGAACUUUCGAAGAGAUUACUAUAAAAAUCAUUAGAGGGAAUAUUUCAUAUUACCACCAUCACAACAUACCUCUGGACGCAAUAUUCUAUCCAUCUCCAGGAACAAGUCUAUCGUGCUGCACCUCUCUGAGGAGAGAUGUGAAAGAAGUCCAUCUGCAUGAAGCAAAUCAUAUGUCCGGGGAUAGGUGGGGAAGGGUUCACACCUGAAGAUCAAUGUAUUAGCAGUCAUAUACAAAAAUGAAUUACUCGGAAGUUCAUAAGCGAUAACACUCUUUUACGAAGAGGUUGUCAAUCAAUUCCAAACAGGCGCGUGAUGUUCUUUAAAAUUGGGUUUCAAAAUAGAACUACGUCUACUUCCAAUCCAAUAGAUCAAGUGAAUGUAUGCACCUUACGUUCAUCUUCAAAUUCAAUCUCAAAAAUAAAAGCAAAAUAAAGAACAUUGAACAUUAGGUAUUGAAAUCUCAACAUUGAAUGUUAGAUAUAAAAUUAUUGGUAUAUUAUGCAUGUUUGUCUACGCUUUUUAAAAAUGUAUAUAUAAUUAUUUACUUUCUAAAGAUUUUAUGAAACGUAGAGAGUAUAAUUUGUUUGGUGACAAUUAUAAAAAACUGCUCUUCAUUUCAAAAGAGUGUUAUAGUUACAUGCUUAUUCCCCCAAAAGCAACUCAACUAAGAAAUCUGUUAUUUUUCAGAAAUCUGAUUUUAAAUAAACAAUUUUUUUUUAAAAAGGCUAAUACUAUCUUCAAAAUAAAAGAGAUCUUUCAUGGAAAAAAUAACUGAAAUAAAUGGACUCUAAAUUAAAAGUCUACGUUAGCUGAUCUAAUGGCAUUCAAUAAUUUACAACAUAAGAAGUUGCUAAAGAACUAUUUUUGUACAUACAUCACUAAAUCAUUUUCAAUAAUAAUAUUUUCACAUUAAGCAGUAAAAACACCAUGGUUCAUGAAGUAAAGUAUCUAAAAUUGCUGUUACUUUCUCAACUAGCAUACACCAUUCUUAUGUCAUUUAUUAUAAGAAUGAGCCAAUAAUAAAUAAUAAGGCCAGUGAAAUAGCUUUAUCAGGCUUAGUGAAAUUAUCAGUUUAUAACCCUCAGUCAUUACCUUCACACCUGAAACAAUUUUUCAUGUGUAUGGAAACCUUGUUUAGAUUAUGGUUUCACAAACAACAACUUUUCUAGAUCAUGAACAGUAAAACAAGCAACUCACCAGUCAUGUAUGACACCGGAAAAACCUCUAUCUAGUAUAAGAGGAAGAAGUGCAUUAGAAGCUGUGGAAGAAACCACGUUCAUAACCCACACUGACUUUUUCUCCUCGAGCAGGGCAGCAUUCAACCCUCCAAAAUUAGCAUUCAUGUCCAUAACAUUCCGGACCAUAUUAUAUGGAGGGAAUGGAUCUUCAUCUCCAAGUCUCUUUGGAUGGUCAGAGAAAAUUAGUGGGGUAAGUAACGACCAAUAAUUGUUAACAGCUGAUCUCCAAUGUUGCAAAUCUUCAUAAAAUUCUUCAGGUUGAACUCCUGCAAUAAUAAAGAAAAAUCAUGAAAAGGAAAAGCAUUACAGAAAGGAAACAAAAUUUGGAGGGGAAGAAACAAGGAGAAAGACAUGCAGAAGAAAUCUGUUAAUACUUUCCAUGAAUUUUAAGUUCAGCCGAGCUCAAUCCAGAUUCAGAAGAUCUGUUCUGUAUUGCAAUCCAGCGCUUGCUAGACGUCCCACUUAUACAUGGCACAAGAGGCCUAUAAUAUGACUGAGUAUCCUCUCCUUCACAUAGCUGUAUAGUACUCUGCUUACUACAAUUAAGAAACAAAUGUUGCUGAAAACCUAUAGUUAUAAGUGAAAGUGUUCAAUGAAGAACCAGCAGCCCAACUAGUGAUAGUUGAUGGUAGCCAUCUCAGAUAGAGAAACAAUUUAGCUGCUCAAAUAAUUAUUUAUCAUUUACAUCACCCAUGUUACUACAGUUAUCCUUACCGAGAUGCAUAACAUCCAACAUCAGUAGUCUUCUGCCAAACAAAAGUUUCAUCUUGCUGAGCUACAAGAGUCCAGCAGAGUUGUUGGGUGAACCCUUCUAUUGUGUUUGACAUUAUUCUCUUUUUCUCCUUUGAUGAACCCUGUGGUCUCCUUGUAGGUGAGGUUAAAACAAAAUAUCCUCCGGGAUUAAGAACACGAUCAACUUCUAUAAGGAACAAUCCAUCUGAGGGAUGAAGUCAAUGUUAGAAAGCAAGGGACAGCAGUUCAUACAGAAGCUAAUGAUAUUCAACAAUAGGAUGGUCAAUGGAAUAAUGGAAAGAGAAUAAGGAAAUGGUAAUUAUAUGGAGAGAGAGAGAGAGAGAGAGAGAGAGAGAGAGAGAGAGAGAGAAUGAUAAAAACUGGUCACAUUCUCAUAUAAACAUUUCAGACACCUAUUUCAGCCAUCAAUUUCAUUCGUGAAAAACAAAUUACUCAAUAUUAGUUAGGCUUAAAACCCAUUUCUAACAUGGUAUCAGAGCCAUGGUUAGAGCCUAUCCUAGCGAGUUCUAAGUGGAUAGUUCUGUUUCCACCCGUUGUCGGGUCGCUAUUGGACCACCCAAUUUCUACUAUCACGCACGAAAUGUCUAUACCUCGGCGUGAAGGGGAUGUGUUGGAAGUCUCACAUCGACUAGAGAUAAGGCCAAUUUAUAAUAUNUAAGUGAGGUGCAAACCUCACCUUACAAGCCGGUUUUGUGGGGUUGAGUUAGGCCUAGAACCCACUUCUAACAAUAUUGAAAUAGUAAGCAACUUUUAUGACUGAAUGAAGGCCCACCUUUUUCCAACGAUGAAAUUCAAUUAAAUCAUAAAGAAUGGAUGUAACAAGGAUCUGGCUUCUAAACAUUUGAUAUAAAGAUAUAUCAAGAAUCAAUUGCCAAAUACCCUUAAGAUGUUAGGUGAAGACCAAGAAUGCUUUUUAUAUCUCCAACACAAGGUUACUGCAUUGUGGCAUUUCAAGAGUUGAUGAUAAUUAGUCACUAAUUUGACAUUUGACAGACAGCCUAAUCAUACCUAUUUGGCCUAAAAAUCUACAGCACCAAAUAUUGCGCACAAUACUGAGUCUUCUUUUUCUCUCAUUUGUCAUCAAAUACAACUUUUUGAACAAAUACGUGGAAUUCAAACUCAGAUUCACAAAAAUAUUAAUCUGUUAAUCAACAUUUCAGUUAACAAUACGGCAAAACACAAAUAGAAUUUGUAAGUAUAAUGUUAACAAGGAAUUCACUCUGCUAAGAAUGAAAUUGUGAUGAAUGCCCAUAAACUGUAUAAUUACCGUUUUCAUCCCACACAAUGCCGCACUGAGCACAGUGAAUCAUGUCAUAUGAUAAUGACGGAUAUGGAAGCUGUCUGGAGAUAAAGUUGCCAAUCAUAGCUGGAAGACCUCUCUCAAGAGACAAUUGAACUUGGCUGCCAGUAGCUUCAUACGCCGCAAUACAAACCACCAUUAUUUUCAGUGACAAUAAAUGAGCUCCAAAGCUACCAAAUCCACAAUUAAUAUCUAGUAUAUUUCGAAUCUGUUAUAAAGUAAUUAAUGAAGAUCAGUCAUAUACAUAUUAUGGAACAAAAACAACAUGGUCCUUAAUGAGAAUCAUAAAGAGGACAUAAUCACUUAAAUAACAUAAUCUUUCGUAACUGUUACUACAUGGAACUAUUUUGCACAAACCCUGUCCGUGUAAAGCAUACUAGUUCCCAAAAGAAUAAAAGUUAGUGGACAACGGUGGACCGAAAACUUACCCCGGCUUGAGGAAGCUCAAUGUCACUUCCUAAGCCUAUCAUCUCUGCAAGUUGGCGAGCAUAAUCUUUCACACUGUUGAAUAUGAACCCAUCCUGCGAGUGAAAGGCGAUUUGAUUCUCUUCUAAUAGCAUCAACCUAGUGAAAUCACCACAAUAUUUAAGAAAACGAAAACAAGAAAGAUUAAAACGCAAUCAAUCAUAAUGAAUCAGAACAGACAAAAGGCAUUCAAGCAGUCUUUUCGUCUUACCACCCCCUCCCCCGAAAAAGAUCACGCAGUUAUAAGGUUCUUAAAUUUCUAAGAGGCUUCUGCUAUCACAUUUCGACCGCAUUUACUCAUAAUUUUCAGCUAUUUUAAAAAUUGCAAUGCAACUACAACCCCAAUUUUAAACCAUGGCUAUAUUUUUAUCCAAAGGGAAUCAACUUCACACCGUAUUAAUUAAUUACAGUAAGCACCUUUUGGUCAUACUUCCAGAGGAAAGAAACUGGUCUUUGGUGAUCUUCACAUUUGCGCUCCAUAUGACAUCCCUCCCACUCGGCCACCGCAACGGAGUCUUGUAUUCCUUGGGAGGCCGAACCAAACACCUCUCGGACACCUUAUACACCUCGCAAUGCCGAUCAAACUCCUCUCCAUCUUUAAACCCAGAAAUCAAAUUCGCAGACACAUUGUGACACGGCACGAAAUUCUCCCUUUCCUUGCCGCAAAGCCCCACCUCCUUCUGCCUCGCGCCACCACUCGACACACUCCUUAAUUCCAAGUAAUCCGCCGCGGCCUGCUCCUUUAUCCUUCUGUAGUUCGUGUAAAUUAGCGAUUCCGCAGUGCGAGACACUGAAUCAUCGGUGUUCGAAGAAGAAGAUGAACUCAACACUGCAAUCAGUGCAAGGAUACUUAUCAGACACAGGAUUAACCAGCUCAGUGGCGGCUUAUGGCCAAUUACGAAGGAUUGUUUCUUUAACCAAGAGCUUCUCAUGUCCAAAGUCGUGAGUCACACGCAGAUUCAAAAACGACACUAAAUUGUAAACUCCUUUAACCCUAGUCCUUCAACCAUGACACCGCAAAUCCUCACUUCGCUGCGACCACUGAAACGAAAACUCACGCAAUUGAACCACAAAUGCAGAUUAGAACCCGAAAUGGCGAAAGUUUUGGGAGACGGUCGUGCAAUGCCAAUCGGAGGAUAUAGCAAGCGUGCGAAAGAUCAACCAGAUCGCCGGUAAAUUGGAAUUUGAAAACGCAACGCGGAUCCGAUUGCGCCUGGCUUGGAACAGAGGAAUUAGGGUUUGGGCGGAGAUAAUGACGAUGAAGAAGAAGAAGAAGAAGAAGAAGAGCUUGAGAUUGAUUUAGAGAUGGAUUGAUUCUAAAAUGGUGAGAAAAAGAGAUUAUUUUAGAUUGCUAACUUUGCUUGCUUUCAAAACUAACAUUAUCUCUUUCUUACUUUAUAUGCCUCCCAAGCUUCCAUUAUUAAUCAGAUUCAAAACAACAACAUGAUUAUUGAUCUUAAUUAAUGACCUUUUAUACAUUUAACUACUUUUGGAAUUAAAUUAAAUUACUACCCUAUAAAAUUAGUAUGCAUUCAUUAAAGAAACAAAACAAUAUAUAUACAAAUUUUGUUCAACAAUUUUCAUUGUGUGCUUGUCUCCACCUUUUUGUUAUAAUUAUAAUUAUCAAAAUACACACCAGUUUCAUUAAUUGUUAUCAAUUUUUUGCUUUUCUUUUUCAAUCAAUUAAUAUUUCUUUAAUUAAUUUCUUAACUAAGAUACUUAUUAGGAUCAUCAUAUACUAAAUUUCUAGAAUAGAACCACCAAAGCAAUGACGACAACUUGUUAAGGAAUAAUCUUACAGCUACCAAAUGGAGGCAGAUCUGGUAGUUGCCAACCAUGUUCCAGUUUUUUUUUUUUUUUUUCUUUAGAAAAAUCAUGAACGAGGGGGAAGAGAAUAAAAUGAAUCAAGUUUUUAUUUUAAAUCAAUUAAAUAUAUGAUCUUAAUUUCUGGAAAAAACAAUAUUUUGAUUGAAGCUUUAAUAUAUUUUAUUUUUAAAUUUUAAAAAUAAAUAAAUAUAAUUUGUUAACAAAAAUUUAUUAAAUUUUAUUGAUUUAAUUAUCAUUAAAAUAUAAAUAAAGAAAUCAAAAUUUUAAUAUAAAACAUAUUUGGUUCAUAUAAAAAGUAUAAUCAUGUAUUUUUAAAUUUUGAUAAAUAAAAUAUAUUAAAAUUUUAAAUAUAAAUUAAUUUUAAUUGUAUAUCAAAAUUUAAUAACUAAAAGUUUAUUUAACCUAGUUAAAUUUAAAUUUAAUUUUUAUUUAACGACCAAACACUCUCAGUUGGUACAUAAUUUUUUUUUACCUAGUUCUAUUUAAAAAAUUACACGUGUUUAGUAUCUUACCGAUUUUAUGUAUUAACUUAAAUUAUUAAUGUGUCCAUGAUUAUUAUUUUUUAGAUUUUUAGGAAUUAAAGUAUUUUUAAUUAUUUUUUUUGGACCAAUUUUAAUAUUUUGAUUAUGGAUUAUGAAAUCUAGAAUUGAAUGCAUUUCCAUUUAGGAGUAGAUGAUAUGUUCCAGGUAUUUCAUAUUUAUAGUAUACUUGUACUUUCCUACAGGACAAAAUCGUAAUUAGGUGGUACGCUUACAGCUAUUACUGCAGCGUGCAUGUGUAGGCAAUUUCUAUCUAUAUAAAAUAAUUAUAUAAAAUUAUUUGCACUUUUUUAAAUUAUAAAUUUAAAUAAAAAUAAAAACAUAAAGACAAUUUUAAUUUCAUCAAUUUAAAUAAAAAAUAUAAAUCAAUGUUUAGAAAUGUUAAUAACAAAGAAUAAAUUCCUCUUGGUGUAUGUGUUUUAGACAGUUUUGUCCUUUAAGUAGAUAUGAAAAUCAUUCUUCAGUUACAAGUUAUUAUUAGGAAUAGCUUCCAUGAUAGUUAAUUAAAAGCUUUCAAAAUUUCCACCCUCCAUGCACGUGUGACAUGACAUAAAUAUAAUCUCUUUUAUUCAUAGUAAUUUUCAAUAGAAUCUAAAAUAUCUCUGAUGUUAACUUAAUUUCUUAUUUUACUUAAAUUAAGUCUUAUUAUUAUGUUUUAUUAAUUUUAGAUAUCUUCUCAUUUGCUCUAAUAUAAGAGUUUUACGAAAUGUACAUCUUUCAUCCCUUUUUAUUUAUAUUUAUAACUUUAAAAUUAAUUAUUAUAUUAUCUUAAAAUUAAAAAAUAUUAUUUUAGUAUUAAGAUCUGGGUUUUAUUUUAGAUUAGAGUUCUCAAAAUUUAGCACACUCUUUUUAUGUAAACUAAAAACAAAUUAAUUAAAUAAAUUUGAUUUAUGUAUUAUAAAAUCAUAAAAACUAAUUGUUAAAUUUUCUUUAACAAAAUAUAUUAAUCUCAAAAAUACAUUUUACACAAAUUUGAAAAUCAAACUCAUAAUAAUUAUAAUAUGUUUAAAUAAUAGGAAUACUAAUAAAACAAAUGACAUUACUGUAUUUCUCAACUCAUUGUAAAUACUAAAAAUGAUUGGGAAAGAAUACCAAUUAGUUGUGUAUAUAAUGCAUAUGAGACACUCGAUUUAUUAAUUUAUAAACUUUCUUAUAAUUGGUUAUUAUUUUAUAUAUUUAAAUACCCAGUUAUUUUAUUAUAAAAAAAGAAAACUUAAUUUCAUGGUUGUUAUUUUAAAUGUAUAUUUAUCGAUCACAUUCGUCAUUAAAAAGAUAGAGUUUAGCAUUUUUACUUUUAUCUCUAAUAUAUUAUUGAAUUUUAAGAAUUUGAUAUGAUAACUAACUAAACAAGAUAAGACUAUAUUAGUAACCAUACCUAUAAUAUGGAGUUUCGAACUUUAACUAAUAUAUACUUUCGAUUUAUAAUUAUUCUUAUUCUUUAUUAAGUUUAACAUAUGAAUGCCAUAUUUGAUAUUAGACAUUCAAUUAUCAAUGAUCUCACAGUUAGGUAUCGAUACAACUAUUUUAAUCAAUAAUCCUGGUUAUGGAUUAGAUUUUUUAAAAUUUAGUGUACGAUUAAAUCUAGAUAUAUUUUUAAUAUAUCAAUUAAAUUUAGAUUUUUAAAUUUAAUUUAAAUUAACUAAAUUAAAAUUAAAAUUAAAUUUAUUUUAUUUAAUUAGAUUAAAUUAAUAUAGCAAUAUCAACAUAAUAUAACUCAUUAUUAACUUUAUUAAAUAAAAAUCGAGUCAAUUUAAUUCAAUCUGAAUUAAACAUUAUUUAUAUCGAUUUAUAUUUAGUUCACUUUACUUGAUUUGUAUAUGGGUUAUUUCAUCUUAACAUCGUCCCAAAAUCGACUUGAGUCAACUUAAACUUGGGUUGACUUUCCAAGAUUUGAAAAAAUUUAAAAUAUUUAUAAAUAAUAUUUGUGUGAAUUAUUAUAGUUUAAAUGUGUUAGGUGAAUGCAUGUAAUAUUAUAUAAGUGAUUGUUAAAUUUUAUGAUGUUGGAGAGUUACCAAAGAAGUUAAAAGGAGUGUGAAUAUUAGUUUGUGCACCAUUUAUUAGUUUGGGCGUGCUGGCAAGCUCUUGGGUCGGGUUGUAAGGUAGUACUCGGCCCAUUUGUCCAGGAGGCCAGAUUAGUGUUUUGUUUUUUUUAAAAAAAGGUCCAAAACGAUGAGUUGGGUAAUAUUUUUGCUUAAUUCUGAUCAUGGGCUAGAGGAGUGGCCAUUUAGGCCUAGUUUAUGAGUUAUAAAUACUAGUUUAAUGAGAGUUAACCUCAAAAUUAAAAACCUAGUUGCCAUAAGGGAACUUUUAGAGAGAGAAAAGGUUUUUCGGGUUUGUCAGUCAAGGUCUAAAAGUUGGAAGUGUUGGAAGUUGAUUAGGAGAAAGGUGUUGCUUAUAUUAGAGGUAGUGUUUAUGAUUUAAUUGUGUGUUUAUGUAUUCGUAUGUCCAUGUGGUCUUAUGUGUGUUGUGAGGUUGUGUGAUACUAUUCAUAAUUGUCGAGUUUUGUUUUAUCCAAAAGUCAUUGUGUUGCAUAUGUUUUGUUAAGUUAUGUUCAUUCAUAUAUUCAUAACUUAUUAUGAAUAGUUUUAGGGUUUUAAUGUGUUGUAUGAACAUGAGACAUGAUUUUAUAUUUUAUAUGGUUUUAUUGCAUUAUUGUUUUCCAAGACUGAGUUGAGUAAGGGUGGUAUUGGGUUAUGCCAGGUUGUUAUAGGAUUAGUAUAACUUGUGCUUUGGGGUUGUCGGGUUAUGUAUGGGUAAUGCCAUGUUGAUAUAGGUCUAAAUCGUGUUGCUUUGUAUAAUUAUUAUGUGAUUGAAAAUAAUGUUGAGCUAUUCAGUUUGAAUCGGUGAUGUGUAUGAGUUUCCAUAGUUGAUUUCCAUGGUUCCUACCUUGCUUCCAUGUUGUUUUAUGAGUGGAUUGAUGAGUAAAUGAUGUGUUGUGAUGUUUCCAUGUAAUUCUGAGUUGUUUUUGGUGGUUGGUGUACAUUUUUCCAAGUUGGCCAAACUGUGGUCGGGCUGUCCAAACUGUCUGGCCGAGCUGGCCAUCCAAGUUUGGGAUUUUAUGGACCUUAGUUUUGAGGUUCUAGAACUCGAAUUGGAUGUUCGUAGGGUCUUUUGGGGGGGAGGGUGGGGGGUUUGAUGUUGGCCGAGUUGUUUGAGGUGUUGUUUGUAUUGUUUGUGUUUUGACUUAGCUGUAUAACCGUGUUGUUUGGAGAUCUAGUUUUCGGGGUCUUGGAAAUUAUUUUUCUGUAGUUUAGGUCGGCUUGGGGUUUUAGCACUUGGUCGAGCUGUCUAUGGUGUUUCUCGAUCUCUUUGAGAACUUUUUCAAACUGGUCUAAAUGAGGCUAAAUUGUCUAAAUUACUUGUUGAGUUGUGUGAUGUGAUUGCCAAAUCAUUGUAUGUGUGUGCCAAGUUGUUUGGAGUGUUAGUAGUGUUUGUUGAAUUGUUUUUUCUUAUUUUUGAUUGAUAAACCAUGUUGUUCUGUUGAUUGUAUUUGAGACUAUGCAUUGUAUAUCAUCUUACGUACUCUUUAUUCAUGAUGUGAAAAUUGUAAUGCUCUAAUUCUAGGUCUCACAAGUUAUUAAAAAAACUGAACAGUUAAAAACUUUUUAUAGCAUAGAAACAUAUUUUUCAAAAACCUGAAUAUUAAUAAAACAAAUCGUAAUAAUUUAAAAUCGGAUGUCUGAUUGUAUCAUUCAAAAAUCCAUUGAAAUGACCAAGAAAAACAAAAAUAAAUUCGAUUUUGUAGCUCCAUAGAAGGUCAUUAAGAAAGGCAUAUUUGUCUUCUUCAUUAUUGUUGGCUUCCUGCUAUUUUGCUAGUCUUUACAGGGAAAAACAUUUUAAUAGAAGACCACAUUCCUACUUAUGAAAGGUUCCUUAGUAUUGAUGUUAAGGACAAUAUAACAUUUGACACCAUUCUUAUAACCAAGAAAGACUCCUUUCCUAGCUCUAGGAUCGAGUUUACUUAUGUUGUUUUCAAGAGUGGAAGCAAAGGAUAAACACCCAAAGGUUUUUAAAUUGAGAUAAGUGGGAGGAGUAUCAUAUAUUAUGUCAUAAGGGGUUUUGCCAUUAAGAAUAGUGGAAGGUAGCCUAUUUAUUAGAUAUGUAGCAUGAGUGACAACAUAAGACCAAUAAACAUUAGGAACAUUGAUUGAAAAAGAAUACGAGUUAUAUUUAGUAUGUGUUGAUGUUUGCACUCUACAAUGGAAUUUUGUUGAGGAGUUUCAACACAGCUCUUUUGGUGAUCAAUGCCAUGAGAAUCAUACAAAGUAACAAAAUUAAAUUCAGGUCCAUUGUCAGAUUUAACAGUUUUAUCAAUCUUAUUAAAUAGGUUUUUAAUCCUUACAAUGAAAUUCUAUAGUAAAUCUAUAGUUUGGCCUUUAUUAUGCAUUAAGAAAGCCCAAGUAUGUGUACUGUAAUCAUAAACUAUAGUACGAAAAUAUUUAUAACCAUGAACAUAAGGAGUGAAAAUAGGACUCCAUAUAUCACAGUGAAUUAUUUCAAAACACUCAGUGGACAAAGAAACACUUUUAGGAAAAGACAAUUUAUGUUGUUUAGCAUAGUGCCAUGUAUCACAAACAGUAUUAGAAGUCAUUUGCACAUAAAGAAAAUUUUUACAUAUUUGUUCUAUAGUUUUGUGUCUUGGAUGCCUAAUCUAUAGUGUCACAAAUUUACAUAAAUACACUCAUAAGAGAAAACAAAUUUAUGAACAAAAAUUUGGUCUUAGAUGGGAAAAAACUAUAAGUAAUAGAGACCAUGGGAGACAUUAGCAGGCCCAAUCAUCUUUAAUGUAGAGUUGUCCCUUAUCUAACACAUCUCAAAGGAAAAUGUUAGAGUGCAAUUUAAGUCCUUAGUCUAACUUUGGACAUAAAUUAGGUUAAAAGAAAAGUCAGGAAUGUAUAAGACAUUAAAGAUGACAAAAUCUUUAGAAAAUUGAAUAGUUCUUGCAUGUUCAGCAAUGAUAGUAGAAUUAUUUGGAUGUUUGACAGAUACAUGUUUAAUUUUAUAAAAGGUGAGAAAGUGUUCUUUCUCAUGGGUCACAUGAUUAGUAGCCCUAGUGUCUAUAAUCCAAAAAGAGUUACCUUGUUUAUCCUCUAUUGUGUUUCUUUGUACUUGAUUAACCUUGUAUGAAGAAUCAUCAACCUUUUCUAUCAUUUUGAGUAGUUUUUUGCAUUUGUUCUGGGGUAAAAGAAUUGAAGGCAAGACUGGUGUUGACCUGUUGAAUGGGUUGUAUACCUUCUCGGGUAGAAUCACUCUUACAAAAUGUUGGCUGAAUUCCAGUCACUCUACCCCCCUUUGUCCUGAUUGUUGUCAUUCUUUCUUGUCUCUUUUGUUUAAUUGAGUGAAAUGUCCUAAAGCAAAUAUGAAAUAUAUAUUGAAGCAGUCACCUUUUGAGAAUCUUUCUAUUAAUGGAUCUCAUAAUUCUUUGGCAUCUUUAACAUAUAUAUCACACAUUUUUCCCAAUCAAAUAGAGCAUCACUUUUUUGAGGUUUCUUGAUUGAUCCAUCUAUGAAUUGAUGUUUUUUUUUUUUUGGAGAUGAGGGCUCUUCUCAUGUUUAUGCUCCAAGAAAAGUUUUUUCAUUUAAAACUUAAGAGAUAAGGGUGAGGCCUACAUUUUCUCCAAGAUGUAGGUAAAAAUGGUUGAGAGGUUGAUUGAUCUAUGUGGUCCAUUACACCAAGAAUGAACAAAGAAUAAAACAAGAAUUUUGUUUAAUUUGACACAAUGGAAGUAGAGCAGGCCUUACCAUAUUAAGAAUUGCAUGAAGAGAGAGGAGCUCGAGAAACCCUUUAGCGUAAAAGAGAAAAGGCAAACAUGAAGGAAACAGACGGGAAAAGGCUUCGAUGAUCAAGUAAGAACAAUUCAAAAUCCUUUCAUCAUAUUGUAUUUCAACACUUUGUAUUACAUUGAGAGAAUAAAAGACAACCCUAUUUAUAGAAUUCUCUUGAAGGGGAAAAAAAGGAAAAUCGAGAACUUUGAUUAAAAAAGUUAAAGAUUCUAACUAACAAAAUAAAUUUAUUAAUUACUUAUUGAUUAUCACAUUUAAACACAUUUAAACGAAACUAACUGAUUACUAAUUGAUCACUGCAUUUAAACAGUAAUCUAACCUAUUAAUGGAUUCUAACUUUUUCAAUACUUCUACGAGGUGAUAACAUGAUAGGAUUGGUUAAACACAUUAUUCAUCAAUGGCAGAGUUAGAAAAUAAUAUUUGUUACAUUAUCUAAGUGUUAAUGUUGAAAUCAUACUAUACACAUCUUUUUGAUUUACAACACUCACAUUUCUCUAUUGAUGAUGAUAUAAUGAAAGAAGUGUUUUUAUAAAAGAAAGUGAAUCAUGUGGAGAUCACAUAUAAAUAUAUGAUAGAGAGUUUCCUUACUAUAAUAAUUGGAAUCCUUGCUUGAAAGAGAAAAGCAUUAACACGAAGGACAUUCGUUUAGUAACUUUGUUUAAAUUAUCAACAUUUAACUCAUGUAUUUUCGUAUUUUCAAUUAGUUUAGUUGUUUCCAGUCGUAUUAAAAUUUUGUUUUUUCUUUUAAUAUUUACGUUUAUGUAAUUUAUUUAUUUUUAUUAUAAAAAAUAUUUUUUUUAUUAAAUUAAGAAAUUAUAAUGUAGAUGAGUAAUUAUAAAUAAAAAAAUUAAAAUUUGUUAAUCUCCUAAAUUUGAUAUUAGAGUUUAGUUUAAAAAGUUUUCACAAUUUAAUUAUGACGACUCUAAAAGCGAUGUUAAAAAACUUAUAUGCAAAUUCAGUUCCGCAAACUCCACAAAUUAAAAUAAAAACUUUCGGAUGAUUAAAAUAAAAACUGUCGCAUAUAUAAUUUUUGUCUAAAUGGAUUCACAUUUCAUCAAAGAAAAAGCUAAAAUUAAUUAUUAUUAGGUUUAAUUAUUUCGGGAUUUCUAUUUCAUCAUAUUUGUAUCGGAUUUUUAUAUUUUGAAAGUUUUAAAUUGGGUCUCUAUUUUAGUAGAAUUGAGUCAAUAAUUUCUUACUGUGGGCGAUGUUAACUUUCUUUCAAAAGGUAUUAUUUAAUUAUGAUGUGACACAGUAUGAGGUUAUUGCAUGCAUAUUUAUAUCAUUUUAAAUUUUAAAAUACACGGAAAGAGCGUAAUCGGUGGUUGACGACAGAGGCGACGAGAGCCCUGCGGAGGCAUGGCGGGACACGACUAGGGCGCAUUUCUUCUUCUUCUCUUCGAUCUGAUUUGUGGGGGCAAGGAGGAAGCUUUCGGGAUUACUGUUCGUUAUUUCAUUUUUGCGAAUUGGGAUAGUUGUUGUACUUCUUUUCUGCAAAUGCGUUUUAAAGUUUCACUGUUGCGAUAUUGAGGUUACAGUUCAGACUGAUAACAUUAAGUAUUAAGUUUGGGUAUUCGUUUUUGUGUUCUCUUCGCACCUACUUGCUCCACGACGGCGAAUUUCCAUGGAUGAGCUUGCCUGAAAAUGAUGAGGAAGAAGCGACUCUGAACGACGACCUCACGCUUAAUCGCGAUUACAUUUUCUCUGAUUGGAAGAUGCGAGUUAAUGGUGGUGAUGCGAGUUAAUGGUGAUGAUGCAGUGUUGCGCCACAAAUUCUGAUUUUCGUUUCAGGUUCGCUGAGUCGCAAUUGAGAAACCAUGAUUUGGGUUUUCAAUUUGAGUUUCUGUUUUUGGAUUUGCAAGUCUGACAAACAAAAAAAUUCACGAUUAGUACUUUCACAGCUGUGCUUGGUGGCGAAUUCUUGUAUGCAGGACAUGGAGAAGAUAAUGGAGUGCAUGGAGUAGAUUCUCGCACAAGAAGGGGUUCUAUGGUUUGAUUUUUUUUAGGUUGCUUACGAGAAGAGUGAUAGAAAACUUGCGAUCAUCAUAGAGAUUCACGGCAAAAGUUGGAGGGACGGCUGCCCACGAGAUGAAGGUGGUAUGUUUUAGUUGCUUAAUCUCAUACUCGUAAUUAAAGCAUAUUUUAACAUGUAAUUAAUGGCAAAGAUUCAAUUGAUAGGAAUAUGUAAAAUACGAGGACCCAAUAAUUAAUACUAUACAGUAAUAAGAAACCUUAAUAUUAUUUGUGGUAAAUUUUGUCGUAAUUUUUGUCUAAAUGAAUACACAUCUCAUUGAUGUUAGUGUUAAGAUUCUGUUUCUAAAAUGAAUCCAAUAAUUAUUGAGAUUUGUCUCUUUAGAAUUAACUGAUUAAUAUUUUCAUUUGAUUAGAAUUAAUUGAUUAAUAUUUUCAUCUGACUAAUAUUUCCAUAAUAGUAGCUUAUUAGUAAUUAUAACAGGUCCAAUGAACUAAUUAUUCAGUGUGAGAAAUAAUAGAUCAAUUGAUUAUUUGUGAGCUACAAUAUUAUUAUUUUGGCGUUUUGAUUGCUAACUAUUUUGAAUUAUGCUCAUCUGUGAAUAUGUAGUUGUAGCAGUUUAUUGUUUUUACUUGAAUAAAAAAAGACUUGAUCAGAUUUCAACCAUGAACAAUAAUUCAAUUCAUGAAUUGAUUUCUCAUAUACACUUCAUUUUUUUUUUUAAUUUUAAAUCAUUCAUUAAUAAAUACUUUUUGAACUUUUAUUAUUUUAUUAUAAAGUAUGAUGUAUUUGAUUUAUACACUUCUAGAUUUGUUUAAAAUAUUCGUUAUACGUAGAAAAAGAUGUAGUUAAAGACGUAACUUUAUUUCUUAUACUUAGGUAUAAAAGGAAAAACAGACUCUUCCUUCUCACAAACUAGAACAACAUAUUAUAUUAUAUUAUAGUUUAUAGUAGUCGACCCUCGCAUCAUCAUGGAAUGCAUAUUAUUUUCAGGCACCAACAAAAACUAGCAAACUAAAGAAACAACAAGACAUAUAAAGUACUAGGGAGGAGUGAUUAGUUAGCUUCAUUUCUUGUGGUCCAUGUCCAUGUUCCUGUUGAUGUUGGUCGUGUUCCUUCCGCUGUCAGGACCAGCAUCUGCAUUUCCUUGGCGAUCAGGAGGUGCGCCAGUGGUGGAAUACGCAGUGCUGUAUUCAAAUCCAGAGGCUCCGUAGUUGGGGCCACUGUAGGGUCCUCCCGUAGGUGGGGCUCCAUAACCAGCAUUCCCUAUGUUCCCAUAAGCGUAGUUGGCCACUGGGUCUAUUGCCGUUCUGCUUCCGAACUCGUCUCUCCACCGAUCCCACUCGUCGUUGUUCUUGCAAAUAUCAGGGUUAUUGUGACGAACGUCAUAGUCUCUCUGAUCGGUACCGGAUUCCUCUCUGUUGGGUUGUUGAUGUGCCAUUUGGAAGACAACCAAUGCUGAUGAUCUGUGAGUUUGAGGUUGUCUUUCAUAUACUCAGAGGUUAGGCGGUGGUGAGUUAGGGCAAAUGACACCUUAGGUUAUCAGCAUCUGCCACGUUGCUUUUGACUCAUUUCUUCUCAACACGUAGGUUCUCACAAUUUUAACAUGGUUUAUAAUAAGAAGCUUUAGAACCUUCUCAUUACAUUCCAGACUUCAUAAAGUUUCAUUUUUUACAUGUAACCUUUUAGUUAUAUACAGUAAUAUUUGUU
rnacentral:lncRNA from 1 species